rnacentral:lncRNA from 1 species
CGUGAUGUAUAUUCUGCAUCCUUAUUGGCAUUUCGGGCAUGUUUGGUUAAUGAUUGGAAUAGGAAUGGGAAAUGGAAUUGGAUUGCUUUGGAAUGGAAAAUGGAAUGACGAAUCAUCCAAAAAUGUUUGGUUCAUUAUUGGAAUGAAAAUCGGAAUGAAAAUUUAAAAUUUUUGAGAGAGGGUUUUGAUUAAGAGAGAGAAAAGUGAUGAAGGGAGAGGAGGUAGGUGUUGAUGAAAGAGAAUUUUAAAUAGUUUACUUUGGAAUGAGCCAAUCCGGGAUUCAAAGCCGGAUUGGAUCAUAAAUGGAUUUGGCCAUUCCCAUUCCGGAGUGGAAUGGGAAUCGGAAUCCGAUUCCUAUAAAACAAACGGCAAUUAUCGGAAUCAAUAAAUUUCAUUCCGAUUCCAUAGUCUAAAAUAGGUGAACCAAACAUGCCCUUAAUUACACAAGCUGAGCUCGUAGAACACAUUAAACACUGCAUGCAUGCAUGCAAAAAACAAAAAAAAAAAAAACUGUGGUUACGUAUUGGAAGAAAAUGAGAACUAAAUUUGACUACUCAAAUCCGAAUUAUAAUCAUGGGAUUUAAGCCUUACACGUUACGUGACCGUUAUGGUCACCAUCUGUACAUACUACAAGCUCGCACGUGUCAGCAUAUCAUGUAUGCAUGGCGCUAAAAUGACACAAUUAAUAUUCGAGAUUAUGUUAAUAUAUGCAAUUAGCUUCAAAAAAAUAUUAUGGUUAAGUUAUGGAAAAUGCAUAUUCAAUUGGAGAAGGUGCACCAAAUUUAACGGUCACGACUAAUUUGCACGCAGGAGAAACCUUCGGAGACAAGGGUUUUUUUUUUGGAGUCCCGUGCUUCAACGCCCCUACGGGGGGCCCAUCUUGGGAAGAAGAACACGCUCCCUUGCUUUUUUUUUUUUUUAAAAAAAUAAUUAAAGGAAUAUAAAUAAAAAAUGAAAUUAAUAAAUAAAAAUUAAGAGAAAAUUAAAAAGAAAAACUAAAUAUCCGAACUAGGAAUAUGUACAAGAAUAUAUUAGAUGAGUAUACGUACAAAUACACGUAAAGAUUAUUUUAAUUUAUUUCAAAUUAAUAUAAAUUUUUAUAUUAUAUUUAUCCAAAAAUUUAUAAUAAAAAUUAUAUUUUAUAAAUUUAUAUGUUAUAUUUUAUUUAAAAAAUUUGCAAUAUCAUAUAUUAUUUUUUUUAAUAUAUAUUGAAUAUUUUUACACAUUUUAUGAAUUCUGAAUAAAUUUAAAAUUUAAAUAUAUUGUUUAAACUAAGGCAUCAAAAUUUAAUUAAUAUUUACUUUGAAAUUUAAAAUUUAAUGUUGAUUCACCGUAAUUAAAUAUUUUAAUUGUUAAUUAAAAUUUGAUAUCCAAAAUUUAUAAAUUUAAAUUUGUUAAAUUUUAAUUUGUUUGAUCCACUGUAAUUAAGAAUUUUUAAUUGUUAAUUCAAAUUUGAUAUCCAAAAUUAAAUCCAAUUCAUGAUUUAAACUCAAAUUUUAAUUUUAAAGUAAAAUCUAUGGAUAGGAAUGUUAUUUUUUAACAGAUUGAUCAUAAGCGUUCGUUUUUAUUUGAAAUAUUUUUUAACAAAUUAAUCAUAACAGUUGGUAGGAAAUAUUUUUUUUAUUUUUUUAAUUCCAUUUGUCUUUAUAAGAAUUUCUAAAUAUUUUUAUAUAUAGUAUAGAUAAAUAUAAAGUGUAAACGGAAUUAUUAUUAGAUAAAUUAUUAGAUAAGAUGGGAUAUAUAAAUAUUAUGUUGGUGGUUGUUAUUAGGAGAUAGGGUACACGUAUAAAAUAUGAAAUUUGAUACGCAAUGUCUGAGAACAAUUUAAAUAAAAAUAAGUGACAGAUCACAAUUCUGUCUUCAUCUAUCAAAACUAUCGACAUAGAAUGAACUUAUAAUAUGAUGAUCAAGUCGAUUUCAUAAUUAUAAGUUUUAUAAACAGUACGGAUGAAAAUAAUUGCUUGGAGAAGUGAUUCUCUGCCCCUCAGAAUUCCAAGUUGGAAUGAUCCCACGAGAUAAAAUGCCAUGCGUACUCGACGCGACGGUGGCUCCAUACGGUGUAUACACUUUGAAUGAAUACUCUGAAACAUGUCACAGACAUUCAGGUGCAAAAUCUGCCCGUCCAAUACAUAAUUCCUCGAUCAUUGGAUUAUAUCUAAUGACUAAAAUUAAUAUAUUUUAUAAUAAUUUAAAAAUAAAAUAAAAUAUAAAAAUUAAUAUAUUUUAUAAUAAUUUGAAAAUAAAAUAAAAUAAAAGUUAUACGGCUGUGAUUUAUACCCGUAAAAGUUGAAUAAAUGAUUUUAUUAAUAUGUGAUUGAAAUUAUAUUAAUAGGGAGUGAAAUUUUGAAAAAGAAAAAAAUUUAAAACUCGCUCUUUUAUAAAUAGUAUUGAUAUAUUUUUCAAAAAAUAAAAAAUAAAAAAGAUUAAAUUAAAAAUAGGGUUAAUUUCAUAUAGGCUCCUGCAAUUAUAGUGAAGGAUGAAUAUAUCCCUAUAAAGUUCAACUUUUAUAUAUUAUCGUUACAAAAGUUCUAAUGCUUUCACAUAUAUCCCUUUGGUUUAUUACCGUUAGAGAACCGUUAGAAAAACUGUUUAUAUUUUCAAUUUUGCCAUCACAAAUAUGUACCUCCAAAAAUCAUAACAGUACAAUAUAAGAGAGGCAAAAUUGUCAAAAACUAACUAAGGUUGAGUAUUUAACAUAUGGUUAAUUAAAAUUUUCUAUCAGAUUCUAAGGGUAUAGACAUAUUUGAAAACAUCAGGAUUUUUGCAGAAACAAUAUAUGAAAGUUAAAUUUUAUAUGGAUAUAUUUGCUAGUUACUAAGUUUGCAGAGGCCAGUAUGAAAUAAACCCUUUUAUAAAAAUAUAUAUUUUGAAUAUUGGUUUACGUUUAGUUGAAGAAUAAAAUAUGAAUACUUAUAUAUAUUUUUAAAUUAUUAAUAAAUAAAUUAUCUGAGGAGCGCUUCUUUCCAAGUGGGUGCCGCGUCGGCUGCCGCCCAAUUGGUGAGGAGGCUCCGACAAGUUGUUGUGUUUUUCGCCAGUUGGCUCAGAAGAGUUGAUGGGAUUAAUUAAACACCCCGUGACGCAAACUAAUUAGUAUUUGCUGCUGAGGUUGACUAAAUCAUUUUAAACGAACUAAGUCUCCAUCGAUCAUUGCCUUCUUACCAAAGCGAGAGCAACCUUAAUUGGCAAGAAAUGCCAGAAGGUUCUUUUCAGAUUUGUACGAAAUAUUCUGCAGAUAAUUUGAAAAUGAUCAUCAUUAUUUAAAGUCCGGCUAUUAUGUAAUUUUUAUUAUAUAUGAUAGGACUAUUAUACUUUCAUAAAUAUAGAUUUUUUUUUUUGUACUCAUAAAUUUUUGAUCACUAGCCAAAUGAUGUCAAAAAAUUAUAAAUUUUAGUUUCCAAAUGCUUUUAAUAGUGUAGAUUAAAUCUGAUGGAGCCGAUCGUCGAUUUGGAAGCCACAUCAUUGAAAACAACUUGAUAGCACGGAGGCUUCCGUGCUACCGAUAGUAUACCAGCCUAGCUGAGCUAAAAAUGGUAGCACGGAGGCUCCAUUAGACUUAAUCUACACUAUUGAAAAUAUAUGAAAACUAAAUUUCAUAAUUUUUCGGUAUUAUUUAUCUAUCAAACGAAUUAUCUAAAAAUGAAUGACUGAAAUUAAAAAUCUUAUAAAAAAUGAUGAUAAAAUACUUGAAUUUAAGAUCAGAGAUACUGAUCUUACUCUAAAUAGUGAAAAAAAAAUUUCUAUAAAAAAAUCAUCAGAUUUGAAUUGUUUUACAUCAUUAAAUUUACAAACGCGUCACAUCUAUCAUUAAAAUUGUCAAUUUUGAGACCGUUUGAUCACUAGCCAAAUGAUGUUGAAAAAUUAUGAAAUUUAGUUUUCAAAUAAUUUUAAUAGUGUAAAUCAAGUCUAACGGAGUCGAUAGUCGAUUUGAAAGCUGUAUCAUUAAAAACAACUUGGUAGCACGGAGACCUCCGUGCUACCGAUAGUAUAUCAGCCUAGCUCUCUCUCUCUCUCUCUCUCUCUCUCUCUCUCUCUCUCUCUCUAUAUAUAUAUAUAUAUAUAAUCCGGCUACUAUACAAUGAAUAGUACUAAACAUUUGGCCUUAUCAAAUUUUCUACCGUUAAAUCUACUCUUUUGAUUUCCACCUAUUAGAUCAUAUACUAUUCAACGAACCAUCUACUCAACUCUAUAGGACCACUAUCAUCUUAACCACAUAUCCUUUAAUCAAAGAGCCGGACACGUAGUAGCACCAAUGACUUGAUGCUAUCAAUAGUAUAGUAUCCUAGUUCUAUAUAUAUAUACAUAGUUUGACUGGAGUGUUUUUAAUAGUAUUAAAUAUUUGAUGCUAUCAAUUUUUUAUAACUAGAUCUACGUUGUUUUAUCAUUUUUUUUUGUUUGGAUCAUAUAUUUUUAUUCUAUCACCCACCCACUAAAUUCAAGUAGAGCUUGGAAAUUUUUUAAUAAUUUACUCAAUUUAUCUUCCACUUUUAUUUUUUUUUGAUAGAAAGUCAAUGGAUUUAAAACUAUAUAUUAUUAUCUUAUAUUUUUAUUUAUUUUACGGAAACCUUUUAGACUAACAUACAAUAGGAUGAAAAAAAAAAUAAAGUAGUUAACUUACUAUUAUUUUUUCAAUUAUUUCAUCUUCCGUAAUUAAUUUUCGCACCACCCAAGGCAAAGUCAGUUCCAACAUUUUGAGAAAAUUGGACUCGUAGGCAAAUUUAACUUACAAUAAAAACUAAAUAACAAAGUAAAUAUUUAAAGCCGAAAGCUACUUAAUUAAACUCCUUCACUUUCGGUAAAACAAAUAUACCUUACGUAUGAUAAAAUAGUAUAACUAAAAAUUCUAUUUAUUUUUUGUAAACACCAUACAUCAUGCAAAUUAUUCAAGUUCAAUUUGGUUAUGAUUUUUGCGGUCUAAGCAAAAGCCAAGAAAAAUAUAUUUUCAUAUGAUUUCGACCCUACUCCAUUUGGCCGAAUAGUAAUAGGCAAUUCCAAUACCAAAUAAUCUAGCGCAAGGGGAAAUGGCAUUAUAAUAGGUAUUGGUGAUUCCCAAUUCAAAGUCUAGUUAUUUUACAUUAUCAACUAAAUUUAUUUUUUUAAAAAAAUAAAUAAAGCGGAUAGCAUGCUAGUUACCUUCUCUUAAAAAAAAAAAAAAAACAAAAACAAUAAACAUUAAACGGAGUUAUCUAAUUAAGAGAAGUGCAAAAUAUAUUGAUGGUAACACAUGAUUAUUGUGCUAGCAUUUUUUUGAAUGAUUUUAGCUUUAUUUACUAGCUAUAUAUUUCAGUAAUGCAUGACCGUUAAAAAAGCAUAUAUACGUAGAAAAUGUUUUCUUGCAUAAAUUAUCUUCUAUUUCUAAAAUACCAAAGCUCUUUCUAAACAUUCCUUACUGAUUUGGCUUAACUAAUUUUGACUUUUUGCCUCUAGCUAAAAUGCCUUUAAAUAUCUAAAAAAUUAAGUAAAUGUGAUUACUCUUAGAAUAUAUACACUAAAGUGGACCUAACCAUUUAAUGCAAUUGUUUAACAUUCCAACUCUAUACGGGUCGGCCGAGGAAACAGUAGACCAUUUGUUCACCAGGUGUGUUUUUAGCAAGUUCAUCUUAGUGUCGGGUGUUGAUGGAGUUCAGACCCUAGACAUGGAGGAUGACGUUACCCGGGCUUGGGACAGGUGGAGGAUUAGGAAGAACCGAGGGAAGAAAAGGGCUUGCCUUACUAAUUUAGCCGGUUGCUGGUGGUGCAUUUGGAAGGCCAGAAACGACAUGAUCUUUAGGGAUAUACAACCAAACCCUGAGAGGGUUGUUAUCACUCUCCAGCAGUUACUGAAGGAGUGGGAUUCGGCUCUAUCUACUUGAAUUUUAAUUUCUUUUUCUAUUUUUAUCUUUAUUUCUAUUUUAGUUUUUAUUUUUAUUUGUAUUUUGUUCCGGGGCCCUAGUUGCCCCACCCUUGUAGCCUAGUUCAUUUUUCCAAUGAAUGAAGCGGGUAGCGUGCUACCUUUUUCUCAAAAAAAAAAAACAUUCCAACUCUAUACCAUUCUCAUAUCUUUAGAUAUAUAUGAAAGGAAAAAAGAAGACAUGUUAUGAGAGCAAUUCAAAGAAGGAACCACCUAAAAUUUGGUAAGGUUUGAAAACAAGAUGGGAUUCAACUCAGAAGAAGAAACCUUCACCUGCUGCAACUAAUCAAUUUAGUAUCUUCUUGAGGAAACUUGUAUAAAUGGAUCAUAAUCUAUGGAAAACUUGGAACUCUAUUCAAUUCGAUCUAUGGGUUCAUUUAUGACUCCAUAGCUUUUCCUAUUAAUUUCCAAGUCAUGGAUAAGAAGUUUCCACCUUCGUAGUUAAUAAAUAUCCAUUCAAUAUUCAUAUUCCUUUUCUAGAAGAUAGAUACAUAACUACAGAUAUGUGCAUGGUCUUCGUUGUAGAUAUUUAGUCACGGGGUAAAAUUAAAUUCGUGUCCAAGUGUUGAUACUUAGUGAUAAACAGCUAACCCGUGAAAGAUUUUGAUAGUGAUAAGCUUUUUGACUUUUGAUUUUGUAGAAAUUUGCUGUAUAGUUGACUUUGAGGGGAUGCUUCGAUCGUUCUUAUGAGGAGAACUGGAUUUUGAUCCGUGUGAAAAGAAUAAAAAAUGCACUGAUACUUCUUGUUGGGAUUAGUUGAACCUUCGAUGAGAAAAUUAAGUUCAAGAAUGUUACUAUCUUAAUAAAAUUCAAGCUUUUGAUUUUAAUUCAAGUUCACAAGUCUAGCUUCAAUUUUUAAAGAGUCCUCGAAUUGCACUCCGAUUUGUCAAUGGUGUUUUUUUUUUUUUUUUCAGGGAAAAGCCUGUAGGCACAUCCUUCACCCGUUUAGCAGAGAUUGAUAGAGCAGUCGAUCAAUAGUACAAGAGGAAUCUGCCCCUAUUUAGAUGCAUAAAUAUAUUAUUCAGUAUUUUUUUUUUUAUUUACUCAAAUAGUUUGUAGCAUUCGCAUGUUCAAAUUUCAGGAUAGGCAUAAUAUAUUUUGCGGAAAAAACUUCAAUGAAGAGUUCCUUAAUGACGUGUCACUUUUAUCUCUAUCCAAAAGUUUCUUUCCUCUAGGCUUUAUUUUUUUUUUUUUAGUUUUAAUAUUAAAAAACACUCAAUGAACUAUUAGGAGUUGGCAAAACCGGCAUGUUAUAGCGGAUCGGUGGUUUCCCAACGAACCCUCCUGGGAGAGCUUCAUACAGAAGUUCUAUCCAUAUUUCACCUUCUAUUUAUUUUCUUGAAAUAAAAUAAAUCAUCUACUAAGCUAAAUACACUAUUAUACCAAAUCGCGGCGAUUAAGAUGUUUCAAGGAAUUAAAAUUAAAUAAACUCCCAGCUUACGGUCAUCCAAAAAAAUUCUCAACCAUGCAGAUUAUUACUAGAUAACUUAUUUCGAUACCAAUAUGAAUCUAUGAGAAUCACUCAACUAAGCCCCCCACAUAAAGCGAUCUGAUAUUGAUCACAAGAAUAGGCCCAGUUUAAAAUUGCAUUUAAAAAAAAAAAACAUUCAAUUUUAUACUUUGAAGGCUCAAAAAAAAAAAAAAAGAAAAAGAAAAAGAAAAAGAAAAAGAAAAAGUGGUGGGCAUCUCACCCCACAAUAGGUCCAUGGGCUAAGCCACAAAUGGGUCUAAGAAUGGGCUAAUAAACUCUCGAGUAAGCCCAAAAGAGGCCCAUAAAAAAGGCCCGGCCCAAUCUCCUCCAGCCACCACACGCGGCAACCGAAGACGCCGCUCAUCGUACACGUGGCGCACCGCACGUGUCACACUCGCGUAGUAAACAGCACAUUGCUCGCAUAAUAUAUAAAAAAUAAAAUAUUCUCGGGUGCUUAUAUCAUCAAGCAUUGUGAGAUCAACUGGACGUAAGCUGAACCAAAAACGUUUCUUUGCGACCAUGUCUUCGCUUAUACCGUGGGUGGGGGGCCGUGGUGUGUUCGACCCGUUCACAACUGAUCUUUGGGACCCGUUUGGGGCCACCACCAACUUGUUAUGGGACGUCGGCCGCAGCGGCGGCGGCGUCGGCGACGAUCCCGCCGUCCUCGCCUGCGCCAACGUCGACUGGCGCGAGACCGACCGGGCCCACAUCUUCGUCGCUGAGCUACCCGGUUUGCGGCCCUGCUCUCUUUCGCUAGCAGAAAGAUAUAAAUUCAUUAUAUUUGGUCACUAGUCACUCAUUAAGUUAUUUUUGAAUAAAGUUGAAAGUUUAUUACUGUUGAUAUUUGUAACUAAGAUAUAAAAGAAUAAGAAUUGAAAUUUUACAAAGAGAUCACACACACACACGUGAGCAUUACGUUAAAUUGGAAAUUGGCGGUGGAACAGGGGUGAGGAAGGAGGACGUGAAAGUGGAGGUGGAGGACGGGAACGUGCUGAAGAUCAGCGGGGAGCGCGUCGAGAAGGAGGAGCAGAAGGGCGAUACGUGGCACCGCAUGGAGCGGCGGAGGGGCGCCUUCCUCCGGCGGUUCAGGCUCCCCGACGACGCAAAUCUCGACGAUGUCAACUGCACCCUCAAGGAUGGCGUGCUCACCGCCGUCGUCCCCAAGAAGGACACCGCCCAGGCCCGCAAUGUCCGGGCCAUCAAAAUUUCCGAAGGCGGGAUAAUGCAGCAGCAGCAACAGCAGGAGCAGCAGCAGCAGCAGCAGCAGUAGGAGUGGGAUUAAUGUGAUGCAGAAACAUAUGUACAUGUGUGCGCUAUAUAUAUACAUAUAUAUAGUAGUUGUAUAUGGAUCUGUAAUAGAAUUUUGUUAACUUCAGAGAGUGCCUGGUUCAGGAGAUGGAGGAGUUUGCAUGUGUAUAUGUUAGAUUAUGGGGUAUUGUAUGCAUGAAGGGAGAGAAUGGUAUGAGCGUCCUGUUUUGUAAGUUGUUAUCUUUUGUCUUAAUAAAGAACUAGCAAAAUAAUGUUAAAAAAUGCGUAGGAAAAUUGGGUACAAAUAGUUAAUUGAUGUUUCGGUACAAAUGAACAACUCGAUGAGUAACACACCGAAGCUAAUGUAAACUUAAAUUAAAGAGGGUAAUACCCCUACCCCUGUUUAAUCGGAAAAAACGUAAAAAAAAAAAGGGUAAAAAAAAGGUAAACUUAAAUUGCAGAAAUUAAGAGUCGGAUGAAAUUUGUAUUUAACAAAUUUUAGUUUAGGAACCAUGAUACAACCGUUUGUCUUUAAAUAAAAAAUAUUAAUUUUUAAUAUUUUCAACAUUAUUACUAUAAUUUUAACUAUCCGACCCGUUGUUAAGUUACAUUUGGUUGCUGGAGCAUAACUAGACAAAGAGCAAGUCGAAGAGAAGCGUUCUCCAAUUAUUUAGAAUCUGCAUUUGGAUUUAAAGCUGCUUCUUUGCAUGACACAAUUAUUCAUUUACAAAAGCCGGGCUAAGAGACUUCGUCAAUAAACAAAAUACUCCAAAAUUAAUAAAAGAAAAUUAAAUGAAAGAAGCGUAUACACUAUAUAAUAAUUACAGUAAAAGCUCCAGGGAAAUCUCUUAGUUAUACUUAUUAUCCCUGGAUGCUUGCACUAUUCCGAACCUUGGACUUCUCAGUAAGAAACAUUUCAAUCUUCAGCAGUGCCUGGAAAAACACAAAAAGGAAGAGUUCACACUGGAACACAUACAUCCAAGGAAUUCGAAAUAGCUAGUGUUCAUAAGGUUUGAACAUCUUAAAGGAACUGAAUUUUCCGGUAAAGAACGUGAAAAUAAGAUCAGAAUGAUAUACCUCGAUGGCAAUAGUGGUCGGUGAGAGCGCAGAGACGUCCUCAUGACCCUGUUUCGCUGCAAUAUCUGCAUCGAUAGAGGACAGUUUUGUCAAUGCAUCAAGCAGUCUGAAGAAAGGCAAAGGGGUUAAUAUAAAGAGAGAUUUGAACUGCAGAUCCAAACGGCCUUCGUUGUAUGUGAUACACUUGUUCGCAAGCUUUUCUAAGUUUUCAGCACAAGCUUUAAACAAAAAAGAAAUAAGCGAAAAUAAAAGAAAAGCAUGCAUUGAGAUUACCAUCAGCACAAUAUUGGACUUAAAAUAAAAGGAUCCGAGGUGAAGACUAGUAGAGAAAGGUUCCUGAACGAUAGGACAUUUUAAACUCGAUCUCCCACUUUUAUCUCUUUUAUUGGCAUCCCUAACUUUUGUUCAUUUCGGUUUGACUUACUUCCGUUAGUUGAAUCGUGGAUUCUGGUAAAGUUAACGGCUCGGUUAACCAAAUCCCAGAUUAACUGCUGAAAAUAGCUAAAUUUGGAAAGGAGCAAAAGUUGAGCGUUAUGAUCUUUGUUGAGCAGGUCUCUGUACAAUUGUAACUAAAAGUAACGACGAUGGCAUUCAAGGCCCACUGAAACAUACCUUCAAGGGAAACCCUUGCAUCGGCAUUGGCAUAGGCGUCACCCCUUUGUUCUGCAAGCGCAGUGAGCCUUGCAAAAGCCUGAAACAGAGUGAUGACAUGUUACAUAUUUUUGUGAAACUACUAAUGACAUGCAGAGCAACAGUUCUUAUGAGCGAUCAGCUAGGAAGAGAGGAUAACUUUUAAUCAGCAAUAGCAUAGACAAGUAGGUAAAGGGAAAAAUCGCAAGCAAAAUUGCUCAGUAUGUUGACACUAUUGGCUGUUAUGAUCAUAUAUUAGUGCUUGCAAGUCACAUUGGUGAUGUAUGAUACCAAGUGGUCCGAUAUUUGUAAAAGAGGAAGUUGAGAGAGAGUUUUGAGAGGGAAGUAGUGACUUACCUUUGUGUAAGGGUCACCAGAUUCUUCAUGCAAAAGAGGACGGGAAGCAGUCCCCACCGCAGCAAUCCGCCUUGCCAGAGCUUCUAAAGGGACAUCUAACCAGACCGUAAUUCCCUGUUUCAUAUACCUCCUAAUAAUUCAAAAUACUAGAGUUAGGUUAUAUACUCUGUAAAACAAAAACCAAAUAAAAUUAUACUUUUAUCAAUUCCUAACCAGUUGAUUGGUCGAAUCACGGCGCCGCCUCCAGUUGCAACAACUAACCGGCGCAUUGUUGAUAGCUCCCUCAGCACUUCGCUCUUGGGACAUGAAAAAUGAAAGAUAGAAAAUUAGAAAGGAAAAGAAAUUGCUUUCUUACUGAAGAAAGCAACCUCAUGAAGGAAAAGAAAUUGCUCAUAAAACAACUGGGGAGUUUAUUAUGAAAGGCCACAAGGUAAAAAAUUAAGCCAAGAGUAGAUCAUUGCAUCCGUGAAGAAAACGUGGAAACACUACCUCAUUAUCUCUGAAGAAGGCUUCACUAUACACCUCAAAAAUCUGAGCAACAGAAGGCAUGCCCACAGACUGCUCAACCAGUUUAUCACUGUAACCAAGAGAAAAGGUGCGUAUUUUUAACAGCUUAUUCUUCAAAAGGGAUUAUAUGAGAAAAAUGCUUUUCUAAGAAUGCUCAAGUUAUUGUCAAACAAUACAAACCUGUCAAAGAAAGAAUACCCCAGAACUUCUGCCAAUAUCUUUCCAACGGUACUCUUGCCUGAGCCCAUCAUUCCUGCUUAUGUCAAACCCAGUUAACACACUACUUCAGAAGAUGCAUGCGAUGCGUUACUUUUUAUUAGACAAUUGAUCGAGAAGAACUGAAACUAACCAACUAGAUAUAUACAUCGCCCGUUCAAGUAGGAGAAAACAUCUUCUGAUUUCCUCUGCAGAUACACAAACAACUUAUCAAAUGGAUGUACAAGGAAAUAAUAUUGCAGGACAUAUAACGUCCUCACAGUAGGAUAAGAAUUAAACUAUCCUGGACUGGUCCUAACCUUUAAUAUUAGUGCUUCAUCAACUGAGAUGUGAAAGUUCUCAUGACCUACAUUCCAUAAAACACAACAAGGUUAAAUUGUAAGAACAGUUGGAAGCACCAAAAAUACACCAACCAAUCAGUACACACCCUGAGCAAUCCAAGUUCUAGUAAUCACAAGUUCAUGAUACAGAAAGAAAUUGUCACAAGUUCUAGUCGUGAUUUUUCUGUGAGGUACCCCAUACCUUAGCGAUUAUGCAAGUUCAGAAAAAUGCACGACACAUCAAUAAUUUCAGCAUUAAGAGAGUAUUGACUUGAGAGCAAAUAGGCAGGUUUAACAGAAAUAGAGCAGCUAACAUAAAAACAAUCAGUUCCGACGUCGGCAAUACAAAAUAGAAGCUCACUAUUGACACAACCCAUCAAUAGAAAUUUUCAAAAAAUGUGUAUUUAUUCUUUCGUCAUCAGGUAUACUCUAGCAAAUGUGAAAUGGAAAUGCCAUCACAAGUUCACGAACAUGUACGAAACAGCAAAGCAUAUAGGCAUUUCAAGUAGUAAGCUACUUAGCAUGCGCAAUCAUAUUACAGCUGCAGCGCAGCCGAAAGUGUGGAGUCAAGCAGAAUUCAGGAAUUUUCAGUUCAUACAAUGUACAAUGUGCCCUCUUCUUCAUUAUUUUCGAUAAAUUGAAAAUAUUACGUAAAUAUAGAACAAUGCAUUUUAUUUCACAUUCACCUAUUUACUCUGAAACAAACUAAACAAAAUUGUGUUUUUGAGAACUAUAGGUAGAUUAUCAUCGAUCUACAUAUGUCAUACAGUUCCAAUCUUCUUCUUCUUCUUCUUCUUGUUCUUUUCUAAACGCUUUAAAUUAUAAAUCAUAGUUCUAAAUUUGCUAUGUACAGAGGCAAUAGACAACAUAUUGAAGCUCGAACUUCAGAGAAUAAAUCUAAAACCUUUCUCCACAUUAUAUUCAACACAAAUCAUAAAUAUUCCGCAUAAUCCAACUAGGAAAUAAAUUAUAUAAUAAACUUUUCCACCAACACAUCCAAUUAGCCUAGAACCAAAAAAUUACCUGUGGAUUUCUUGCAACAACAAGAAAUUUUAGCAUCGGGGAUUCCGGAUCGAAUCGAAGCUCGUUUAGAACGUUGAUCUCCAACCCUAAUCGUUUGAAACGCUUUCUCUUCAAACACACCAUUCCCAAACCUCACAAAACCGGAUUCUCUUCGCCCAAGCUUCUCCGAACCGAUCAAAGCACGCGAUUGCAACGACAAAGCCACACUGUUCUCCAUCGUCUCCUCCGAUUAAAACGAAGAGAAAACGCAAAAAAAAAAGGGUAAAUUUCUCUCUUCAGAGAGAAUCACCAAACGCUCCGCUCAGGAUCCGUAUCCGGCGACGCAGCAUGGCUCCCCGGCGCGCGAUCAGAGCCCUCCGUUCCCGAUCGUGCGGCUGGGAUCGGCAGGGUCGCUGAGGAGAGCUCCGUUAAUGGCGGUUUCCGGCGCACGCUAGCGCUCCCCGGAGCGCGGCGAUGGCGGCGGCGGCGGCGCACGAUAAGGAUCGGACGGCGGAGAGGGGGCGGCGAGGGUCCGCGCGCUAUAUACCGCGCUCCGCCACGCGUUCGCGAGUUGUAGUAUCCCCAUCCCAAAUGCCACGAAAUUACCGAACGACCCCCGCUCUUCCGUUUUGACGAUUUUGUCCCUCCACGGGCGUUGCGAACGAAGGGACCAUUUGGUUGCAUAUAGUUACGACUGCACGUAACUACAUACAAAUAUAAAUUUGAUAUUUUAUAUAUUUAACUCUAACUGCUGCAGUAAAGAUUACAACGAAAGGUCCAACUACAGCAGCAGUUGGAACUACGUCAAAAUUGACCGCAGUUAGAGAGACUAAUUUUAAACGAAAGAUAAACUUAUAUCCUUAAUAAUUUUUUAAAUAAAAAUUAAUUUUUUUAAGUUAGAGGUAAUUUCACCAUUAUAUAUAAAAUAAUAAAUUUUUAAAAAUUAUUUCGCAACUGCAUAUAGCUAAACAGGAUGCAUAUAGUUAUAACUAUUGUAUUUUUAAUUAUAUGCAUCUUUAAUUAUAUUGUAUUUAUAAUUACAUUUCUAAUUAAACGUUCCACUGUAGAAUAGAAUUUUGGUAGAAAUAGUUAGGGGUAUUUUGGUCCAAGAAACUUUUGGGGGUUUGGUGGCGCGUAUAAGGUGCAGAUGGAUUAAGGGAGUACGCCACGAUGACCCCAACUACCCCCAACUAUGCCACGUCGGAUGAGGAGGUGUUUGGUGGGUGAUCGUUUGACUCGGGCAUGUAACAAUUUCACAAAGGGGCCAAAUCAAACUUUGAGCCAAUUCUUUAGUGUAACGUCUACAUAUCACACUGUAGAUAAAAAUUUGGAAUAGUUACAUGUAGAUUCCUGCAAAAAGCGCCCACUCGAAUUUAUUUCUGCAAAAUUUACAAAAUUUUUAUUUUUCAUGCUUAUUCCUCCAAAAAAAAAAAAAUCUAGAGUUUGUAAAUAAUUAAAUAUUUAAUUUUAAUCCGUUUAGAUGUAAAAAAAUUAUUUUACCUCUUAUGUAUAUAAUUUUCAUUGCAAAUCCCACUAUCGCAUCACCAUCGAGAAAGACGAGGAGGGCGACAGUAGGAGAAGGAUGUGGGGAUGGUGGUUGGUAAAUUUGGUUCCGUCAUUGUUGAAAAUUUUGAAGCUCGAGAAGGUGAAAAUAGAGAAGAUGAAGUAAACCUGACGAAUCAAAAAUGAAUUUUUUGGUGGUGAAUGAAUGGAUCGAAUCAUGUGUGGUAGGAUCCAAUAAACAUUUUAAAUAGAUGAGUCAAGCUUAGUUUGGUAUUGAGACCCGUUUAACGCUAUUAAAUAAAUAGAGUUAAGGUAUGCUUCUGCGUUCUUCGAUGGAACCGCAGAAUAUAUAUCAUAAUCGACUCACUGCGAUAUGCGAAACGCAAUAUUACGUAUGGAAGCAAACAUGAUAUUUCCAACGUACGUACUUUUUCACCGCACGUAACGCAAUUUCUCCGGAAUCUCAAACGAAGCCUUAGAGGAAAAAGAAAAUGACUUUUAAAGAGAUAACAUUUAUGGAGACAAAAGAAUCAUUAGUUAGUGAUACUUUAUUUACACAAUAUAUUAAUUUGGAAUCAUUCUAAGGGGUUAAGUUGAUAAUUCAAAUAAAUUUAAUAAUUUUCUUAAAUUAUUAGUUAUUAUUUGUCUUAAUCUGAUAGGCUCGUGAAUAAAUAUGAAAAGUUUUAAAAUUUUAUUCGGCUAAAAUAAUUUAAUUAUGAAAACAAAUUAUUAAUUAAAAAAAUAAAGUUUAAGGGGUUUUGUUUUCACAAAUAAACUAUAGUUGAAGGGGUCUCGGAACAGUUUUUAUCUGAAAAUGUAAAGAGCAAUGCUACAUAUACACCUUAAAGUGGGGUGUACAUUUUACACCCACUUCAUCCGAAGGUCAUUAUUGUCACAUUAAUUUUUUAAAAUUUUACUAAAAAUCACUUCUGUUUUAGCCUCGUUUUAGGUGUGUCUUAUUGAGAAAAAAAAGGAGAUGUAUUUUCUUUGGUCAAAAAAGGGUUGGUGAAAGAUUGGGAGAAGAUUCCCCACCCCAAAAAAGAUUAAAAAAAUCUUUUGACAAAUCUUCUGAUCAUUUUAGGUUGGUUUCAAAUGAAAAAAAACCUAAUAUCAAAUUCGUAUGAUACAAUAUACGCACAUAAUAAUUUUAACCUAUUUCUAUUUCAUUCAAAGAUGGAUGUAUUAGAUUUUAAAUGUUGUACACUCAAAUAUAGGCCACUGAUUUUUUUUUUUUUUUUUUGAGAGAGAGAAAAAUAAUAUUCUAUCGCUUCAUUUAAUUUUUUAAAAAAUAAAUUUAGCUAAAAAUAUAAAAUAAUAAGUUUGAACUUAGAUCUCAAAUAGCAACCGUCAAAUUUUUUUAUCAACUACAAUACAAACGACCGACCGUUUCUAGAGCAAGUGGCGAAGGACUUGGUGGUUGGUAACCGAGACCCAAGUUCGAAUAUUUUUAGCUAAGUUUAUUUUUAAAUAAAAUAAACGAAUCGAAUAGCAUGCUAUCUAUCUCUCAAAAACUACAGUACAAACGAUCAAUUAUUAAAAUAUAGAUUUUACAAAUAUAUAUAUAUAUAUAUAUAUAUAUAUAUAUAUAUUAAAUAGAUAAUUUUUGGAAGAGCAUUUACAUAAAAGUUUCCACAUUUGUCGCUUUUGCUUGGUUACUAAUAUUUUAAAAUCAUAAAAAGUACAUUAGGAAGAGAUGGUUGGUGAAGCUACUUCUCAAGUGUAGACGCAUGUUUAAUUUCUUCUUUUGGAGAGAGGAAAAAAUGAAAUGCAUUGCAUCAUAAAUACAAGACAUAUUUUCACAACUUCUACUAAUGAAAUUCAAGUUUAAAUGACAAGUAUGACGAGUUAAUUUCACCAUCCCGAUAAUUUUGGUUUUGGUUUGGUGCCAAAAAAUAAAAAUAAAAAUAAAAAUAAAAUAAAAUAACAUAGUUGUCGAAAUCAUCAGGUUCACGUUGUCAUCGGCCAGGGUGAUGGGUGGGCCGAUCAAUAAUUUAUUCACUCGCCACUCGAAAAGGGUUAGUUGAUGGCUUCAUGUGAACUACGGACUAAAACAUCAAUUUUAUUAUCAAGCACAGCAAUUAAGUUGGAGUUAGGUGCAUCCACACAGGACGCAUUUAUGCGAGCUUAUCCUGUAGUCAGGUGUACUGUCUUUUUUUUUUAAAAAAAAAAAAAUUUGUUUCAUUUUUUAAACUUUAAACUAGGAGGAAAACGUUAAGAGCAUCAGAAAAUCUAAACUCACCCACGUGAGAGUUCGAACUUCUGACCUUAAAGUCAAAUCUGAAUGUCUAACAAUUAAAGCUACUGCUGGUUUUGAUAACUCACCAAUAAGAUGUCUACUAUGGCACACUUGCAACGCAUCAGCAAUAACAAGCGAAUUACAUCUCUUUAUUUUGAAAGAAAAAUACAAUAAAAAUAUAUAUUUUUAAUCAUGAUAUCAUCGAUUAACUCAAAAAAAUCUAUUUGAUUGGUUGAGAAAGUCAUGCGUCACUAAUAUACUUGGUGCAUUCUAAAAUAAAAAAACUUCAAAUACCACACCCGUGGUUUCACACUUUUUCACUUUAGUACCAUGUGGUUUCAAGUGUAUCAAUUUAGUACCAUAUGAUUUCACACUUUCUCACUUUAGUACCCUGUGGUUUAAAGUGCAUCAAUUUAGUACCCUGUGAUUUCAUUUUUCUCUUUUCAUCGACUCCCCUGUUAAUAUUUCGUUAAAUUAUAUGCAAAAAACUUUAGAUACCCUACCUAAGUUUAUCGAAUUUUAGUUUUAACUUUGUUACUUAUUUUUUUUUCCUCCGUUAAUAUUUUGUUAAAUUAUAUACAAAAUACUUCAAAUAUCCUAUCUAGAUUUAUCGAAUAUUCACUUUAGUACUCUUUAAUUUUAACUUUAUCAGUAAUUUAACGAAAAAAAAAAUAAAAUGAAUAAUAAAAAGAGAAAAAUAAAAUCAUAGAGCACUAACUUAAUACACUUUAAACCACAGGGUACUAAAGUGAGAAAGUGUGAAACCACACAGCCUAACUUGAUAUAUUUUAAAUUACAUGAUACUAAAAUGAGAAAGUGUGAAACUACUGGAGAGAUAUUUGAAGUUCACCCUUCUAAAAUUUUUCAACCUAUGACGGUGCGUUUUAAGUAUUUCUUGAAGACUUGUAGAAUGCUAUCCUUUUCGUUCAAUCUAUAUUGCCGGUUGUUGAAUGACAGGAACAUGCACCAUACAAGGGCCCAACACAGAAUCAAAAUGCACCAUAACCUUUAGCCACCGUUUGGUUCGAAAUUAAAUAAAAACUUGUUAUUUCAGAAAUAAAGUUAAAUUCAGAGUUAAGGUGUGGUUAAAAUAAUUUUAUGUUUGGUUCAGAAUUGAGUUUAGUCCAAAUAUAGAUAAAAUAGUGUUUAGUUGGAAUAUGUGAACUAAAAAGGAUAGUAGGUAAAAUAAUGUUUUGUUUAGUUGGAAUAGUGGGGUGGGAUUAGCUAAUCCCAUCCCCAAAUUGGGUGUUUGAAAAUAACUUCGGGGUUCAGAGGUUAUUCCACCUCUUAACCCCGAACCUAACAGGUGCUAAGCUAAAAUCCUGUAGACCUGCUAAAUAAUGUCCUCCAUUUGCAGUUUGAGUAGCUAAAUUUAACAUAAUUUGGUGCGAAAAGCUUCAACUAAUUCUAAUGCCCAAACAUAAAAAAAGAAAAGAAAAGAAAAAAAAAAACUACCUGUACACCCAAAAAUAGGUAUAGAUCUUACACCCCACCUAUACUAGGGUGGAGUAUAAUCCAAAUGACUGACGAAAAAUUUUCUAUCUAAAAAUAAAUAGAGCAUAAGAUGGACUUUUUUCGAAAAUAAUCCUGCGAAAGUUCGUAUUUGCCAAACUAACCCCGUGAAAUUUUUAUUUGUAAAACCAACCCUCCUUUCGCCACGUGGGCGCCACGUCAGGGAUUCCUCAAAAAGGCGGUGAAUCGUUCACCGUCUUUGUAAUUUUUGUUUAAAAGCGGUGAAUGGUUCACCGUCUUUAGAAGAUGAUAAACCAUUCACCGCCUUUAGUGCAAAAUUUCCCUUUCCGCCCUUUUUCCUUUCCGCCCUCUCAAGUCCGCUUUUUCUAUGCCCUCGAGAAGACGGGGAACGAUUCACCGUCUUAUCAAGGACACCAUAUUAUAGACUUGAAAAGAUUUGCACAGUGUAGAGAUUUGUACUAAAGACGGUAAAUGGUUCACCGUCUUAUAAAGACGGUGAAUGGUUCACCGCCUUCACAACAAAUAUCAAAAACGGUGAACGAUUCACCGUCUUUUUGAGGAAUCUCUGACGUGGCGCCCACGUGGCGAGAGGAGGGUUAGUUUCACAAAUAAAAAUUUCACAAGGUUAGUUUGGCAAAUACGAAAUUUUACAGGAUUAUUUUCGAAAAAAGUCCGCAUAAGAUAUACACCCAUAGUAUUGCUCAAAAAAAAUAUAUAUAUUGCCCAAUUAGAAAGUACUUUUGGAUGUACCACUAGUAUUGCUCCAAAAAAAAAAAAAAAAAUAUUGCCUAAUUGGAAAGUUCUAAAUAAAGGACGCACACUUAUACUAAGUUUUUUUAUUUACUGGUAAAAGAAAGAUGAAUAUAAAAGUAAAUAAUAAAACAUUAAAUGCUGCUUUCAAAAAUUCAGGAACCAAAGUAAAACUUAAUUAUUUGCGUACUGGUGCAAUUUACCACAUCCAAAAAAAACAGAGAAAUCACCUUAAAUUUUUUUUAAAAAAAAAAAACACCUAUUUAAAGCCCUAUCCCAUAGAGAUGUAACAAAGUUCAAUUAUAGGCCACUCUGAGAUUUGAAAUAAUUAUUUUUUUAAAAAAAAGGCGCUUUGCAUAAUUGUGAAGAAAUAAACAACUUUAAUCGUUUUUAACUCAGAAAUUCAAGUACCAUAAACAAAUAACGGUUGAUAGCUAACGAAGCCUUUAGUAUUGGCAGAAUCAAAAAAAGUAUUUGAAUAUAACAAUAUCAUCAACUUGUUUAUAAUCCGUAAAUAAACUUCAUUUUCAAAAAGCAAGAGUCAACAAUAUGCGCCGACCUAAUUUACGCCAUCAAUAAAAAAAUUAUCAAGCUUACAAAGGGCUCGAUUUUCGUAAUCACCAUCUACUAUGCCUGACUUUUUUUGGCUAUCAAAUUCAAUUUAGAAUCUAACCUACGCAGAAGCAUGCAUUUUGAUACACCACAAGCUCCACCCAAGCAACACGAGGGCCGGAGAUUAGAGAUAAAAGAAGUAGAAAUAAUUGCAAUAAACAUUUAAGUUAGGCUUGUAGGGCUUGGAUCAGAUCUAUAAUGUUACAAAAGAUCAUACCGAGAUAUACCGUUAUGCAGUAUUGCCAAAUCCAAAUGGCGAUCUUCUCCUGUUGCCGCCCUCGCCGAAUUGUUCGUUCCAUCUUCUGAGUUCAUGCAUGGUAACGGCAUCAUAGGCGACCGAAGCGCCGACCUUAAUGGAAAAUGAAUGAGAUCACAUAGAAGUUAAACACAAAUUGUAUACUAAAAAAGCCUGUUCGCUGCCCAAUUGAAGAAUGGCUAGUUGACUACAAACUCUCAAUACCUUGGCUUUUGCUUGGAUAAAGUCAUCCAAUUUUAGGGGCCUUAGAGAAGGUCCUGGACUAGUAGCACCUCCCUGAUCAACAAAGGAUAGUUACAUUAGGGUAACGGAAAAAUACCAGAAGGCAAAACAAAGAACAUUUUCGCAUAGAGAGCUGGAUGGUUGAAAGGAAAUGGAAUAGAAAGACGUAAGUUUAUCACCUCCUUUUCUGCUUCCAGAAGUUCUUGAACUGGCUUAUACGCAGCAGCAACGCAUAGGUUCUACACAACAGAGAGUGAUAAGCGAAUGCAUUCUUAUAAAAAUGGGUCUGAAUGCAAUCAGAAUACCAUACCUUCAAGUCACUUCCUGAAUAUCCUUCAGUGGCAUCGGCAAGCUCUUCAUAUCUAAAACCAGGUUCGAGGUUCUCUUUAGAAAGAAUAAUCUUUAGGAUUUUCGUUCGGUUCCCGGCAUCAGGAAGGUUCACAAAUAUCCUACACAUAAGAAAGAUAUUUAAACUAAGAGGAAAGAAAGAGGAGAACAAUUUAUCUGUGUGGAGUACCUUCUAGGCAAGCGGCGUAUUACAGCAUCAUCUAGAUCGAAAGGACGAUUCGUCGCUGCAAGAACAAGAAUCCUUUGGUUUUCCUUUGUCCGAAGCCCGUCCCAUGCGGCCAUAAAUUCGUUUCGCAACCUUCUUGUUGCUUCAUGCUCAAAAGGACCACCUCGAGCGCCAAGUAAGCUGUCAACCUUCCAUUAUAGCAAUUGAAGUACUUAAAAUCAGAAUUAUUCCCACAGGACCUCAUUAAGAAUAAGGUAUUGCUAACUUUUUACAUUGAUAUUACCGUCAAAGAACAAAACAAAGCACAAAGCAUUAGCUUCAAAAAGACUGAAUUGCUACCUCAUCAACAAAUAUGAUAGCAGGGGCUAGUCGACUCGCAAAGGAAAAGAGGGCUUUAGUGAGCUUCUCAGCAUCUCCAAACCACUGUUUUAAAAGAUAAAGAGUAAUAAUAAGAAACAGAACUUUGAGAACAACUAGUAACUCAUUAUUUAUGUUUCCAUCGUAUUACCAGCCCUCGAGCAUAUAGGAGAACACAUAUAAUUUACCUUUGAUGUAACAGCUGAACCAGUUACGCUAAUAAAAUUUGCACCAGAUUCAGUGGCAAGUGCUUUUGCCAGAAGAGUUUUUCCUGUUCCAGGAGGCCCAAAGAGCAAAAUCCCUUUGCAAGGCUGAGAGAAUCGAAAGAGGAAAAUGGUAACUAAUAAUCAACUGAAAAUGGUGCUAUAAUAAUUUCUAAAAACAGCUCUCCUAUCAAUAAAGAUAUGCAGAAAGGUAAAUAAAACAGCGAAAAGAAAAUUGAGAAAUGUAGCAUCCCAAGUGCAGAAGUUUCAAUUGACAGAUUUCUGUGUUGACAGUGAACAUAAUAAUGCAUUCACUUAUCCAGGAGAUGUUUUCAAAUCUUAUUGUAUUUUAUACGACCCCAUAUUGUUGAGGGCAGCUUUGGUGGUUGUUAAUCAGCUUUUUAUCAGAGAUUUCAUCCUUCUAGGAUAUCUAAUAGAUUGCACCAGUGAUUACAAUCAUAUUGCUUGAAAUCACAUCAAGUUGUAUAAAAAAGACCAAGCAGCUUAUGCAAAUAUUGAAUUCAAACCUACCAAAGAUGUGUGAGACUAAGGCUCACAAGAUAAUCUUUACUCAAGUAUCAACUCCAGGUUAAAAAAGAGGAAGUGCUUCUUAAAUAAGAAGAAAAAUUAGUGCUCACAAGUAAAUCUUUACUCCAGUACCAACUCCAGGUAAAAGAAGAGGAAGUGCUUCUUAAAUAAGAAGAAAAAUUAGAUGGUACUAUCUCCAGAGAAAAAGGGAGGGGGUGGGGGGGAACAAAAAGUUUCUAUUUUGAAUUUUCACCAUUCUCAAAAUUUCUACAAAGUCCUUAUGAUUUUGCUCGAUCAGGUUGCAGAACGAUAAACAUGCAAAUAUUAGGGAAAUACAUAGAACUAUACCCUUAACAAAUUUCCAUGCGUAAAGAGCUCUGGUCUCCUCAUAGGAAGCGUGACAAGCUCAUCAAGUGCCGUCUUCACCUCCUCGAGCGCACCAAUAUCAUCAAACCUCACUCCUACUUCCUCAGCAGGAACUACCGCUGAAAUGAAGUUGCUCUCAAACUCAUCUUUGGCCAGACUCUACAGUAAACACAUGCUUUAGAAAUCAUAAUAUUCACUUGUGAUAUAAGACGACUAAAAGAGUUUGAUUCGCUAAAUUCAGAAUCUACAUAAGAAAUAAAGAACACUAACCUUCAAAUUUUGUGAUGUUUUCUUGGAAGUUGACUCCUGUUCCCUUAGCCUUGCAAUGGCUAUGUCCAAGCUACAAGGAGGAAAUAGAGGUUUAAUUUAUCCAAGCCACUAAACGGAGAUAAUAGAGGUUUAAUUUAUGAAAGCCAAGCCACUAUACCGACACAAACAUUGCCAUGUCAAAAGUCAUCACCUUUCACGAGGAAUCACCAGCCUAUCGCCCUUUAAAGAGGGAAGAAUUAUGGAUGACAGAUAAUGAUUUCUAGCCCAUCCAACAACUCUCUCGGCUUCUACAAUUAUCAAAUUAAAAAGAACACCUUAGAAAUGAAAUCUCUCUGCAUGUUUGUAGUUUAACAUUUUAUUUCACAAUUUCUCACAAAAUAUUGAGCACAUGAAUCUAAACAAGAACAUUAAGGGGAGAACAAAAAUUUUCAUGAGCACUUCUAACGAAUCAAGGGUUUAAAGUGUUAUCACUAAAAAUAUUAGCUCCAUAUCAAAUGUUCAAAAUUAUGAAACUUACUUUGCCUAGUCAAGAUCACAUCAUCAGACUUUACAUGCAACAGAUCUGCACAUGACAGCUCAUUUUCUUCCAUUACCUACAUGAGCAAAACAAAAUUAACAGCUAGUGGCAAUUAUAGACAAGGAAAGUAAAACACACCGAUAGGUCAUAGCAUGCAUAUGCAUCCAUAAUUAGUAUGACAACUGUAUAAGUCCGAACCUUGUGCAGUUCAAUAAGGUUACUUCUUGAUAUUAUAAUUCUCCUAUCUUCUUCGAUCUGUUUAUUGAAAAUUCUUAGCUCUUCAUCUUCCUGAAAGUAAAAGAAGCAAAUUAGAGGUAACACUCUCACCAAAUGUGGAAUACACUUUACCAAGCAAUUGCUGUUGUUUCCCUCAAAGAGAGAAUGAAAGGUCUAAUGAUUACAACAUUUAAUAAUUAGAUAUAUCCAAACAACGAGCCAACAGAAUAAAUGUAGCUCAUUAUACUGAAUCACGAACAACAAAGUGAAUUGCGGAUAAAAGUGCUUUAACCCCAUCCAUUUUUGCACCUCAACCAAACUUAGCCCUCAGAUGGUUUACUGAUGAAAAAACUGGAGACGGACUUCAAAUUAUGCAAGUGCUGACACUAAAUAAAUAUCAGAGGCAUACCAUGGCAAAACUUAUCAAUUGGACGGGAGCAAAAGUGAUAUUAGUGUUAAAGAACAGCAUAUUUGAUAAAAUUUAUUAAGCACGUAAAUACCUUUGGAAGAGGAAUAAACAGAGCAUUUGUGAAUAGUUUACAUAUGCUAUUCGUUUUUGCAGAUUUUGUUGCUCUCAGUCCCUCUGUUAGUCGCUUCAACGGCAAGGGCUGCAAACACAAUCAAAACUUAAAGUUCAGCAAAUCACUACCGACAUUAAAUCGCAAAUACGAUAAUGAGGAAUAAUGUCCUCUUAACAAUGAUCAGCAACAAGUUGUUAACAGGACUACUGGUCACUCAUGUCAUUCAGCUAAUGUAGUAAGAAGGCUACAGAUCUCAAACUUUUAUAAAGGUACAUCUAGUGUACCGCUUAAAUCAAAGAUUACAUGGAAGAGGAUGCAAAAUGCCACCAUCAGGCCAUCCAUGUGAACUGAUUAGCGCACCAUAACUUGAAGCAAUUGAAAAGAGAGAAGCAAAUGAUGAACUGGCUGGAAAAGAGCUCCCAGAGUAGAACUAGAAUUCUUUAUCAGAUUUACAAUGGCAUUCCACAACUAAGGGAAGCAAUGCAUGUGUCUAUGAUAUGUUACAGAGAAAUUACAGUACCAUAAUUUACGUUUAUUCCACACCAAAAAAGGGCUCUAACCUCCUCUAUGGAGGAUCUAAUGAAAAAUAAUGUAUACCAUAUUUACUGUAUUGAUUCUUCAAUAGAGACAAGUGAAGGACAUAAACAUACAAUAUAGAACUUCAAAAGAAUCAAAAUUGUAACAAUCAAAAAGAUCUUAAGAAGGAAUUUAAUAGGAGCAUUUACCAGCUGAGUCAAGCGACCAAGCUGAGGAAGCACCAUCGUCUACAAUGGUAACAUGGACAGGCAAAUAUCACAUAUGUUUUUGUAAAAAUUUAGCCUAAGCCUAAAUAUCAUCGCAAACCAGGAACCUGAUGAACUGAAAUUACAAUUCUGACCAGUCUUACAUAUUUCUCUUUCUCCUUGGGUGGUGCAGCCUCUACCAUGUUCUGUCCACAAAUCAAAACGACAGGUCCUGUAAAUUGGUCGAACAUUUCCUCUACCUUUUGGAUAAACUCUUCACGAUUUGACUUUGGUACUGCCCUUGACAACCACUGGGAACUGUCUGGAAAGUAGACAAUAACUGGCUGAAGAGAUGGCAAAACCUGUGUAUCAUUUGAGUAGAAAAAACAAGAGUAAGUAAAUAAAUAUAAAAAAUAUUCAUCCAACGAUUAUAAAACCAUAUAGACGGUUUAUCCAACAUCAAUUAGAUAACACCCAAAGUUAUAAAAAAGGUACAGAGUGGACUACUGAGAAUCACACCUCACAAAGUGCUUCGAUUGCAAUGUACCAAUCUUCUGCCUGAGUAUCAAGAUCGUGUGCAAUAUCCUGAACUAUAAAGGAGAGAAAUAGAAAUAACUAAGUUUUGCAUGCAUUCCUUGUGCAACACAUAUUUCUAAGCUAAUAUCUCUAAAAGUUAAAAAAAUCUAUUCACAAUUGUAUGAUAUUAUUAUUUAAAUAACAUAACAUAUGUUGAAAUUAUUCUUAUACAAACCCUAAAAAUGCAAUUUAAACCAAUGGAAACAAAGACUGGCAGAAAUCCCAAACCAGGAAAAAAGCAAUAAAAGUGUGGAAUAGAAGCAUACUGUCAACCCAAUAGAUCGAAGGUUUUGCAGGUUGCUCUUUGGCAUUCUUAUUUGUAUUGUCAUCAUCUAUUUUGUUCCCAGGACUGUCAAAAACGACAGCUACUUGAUCCCCAUUGAUCUCAUAUACCUCACCACGCUGUCCGUUUGAAAGAGUCCUGCAAAAUUGUUGAUGAUUCAAAGGAAUAUUAGAAGGAUAAAGAAUCAAGUAUGAUGCCUAUCAGAAAACAAAUAUAAUUGAGAUGAAAUAUAGAUCGUCGCAUCUAUCAACAUAUCGACCUUACAAUGCUAAAGGUUGAUUUAUAACUUCCAACGAAAUCUCCGCAUGCCAAUAACGUAGUGUAAAAAAGGAAAUAAGAAUCAACACAUCACUACUAAAAUUGCUUCAGUAGUCACUGAAAAUUGUUCUGCGCUAGAGGAAACACCCAAAGGUGGCAUAACCUUAUUCACCAGUAACACUGCAUAUCAUUCGCUUAUUGAACCAACAAAAAUCCCCAUUCACACUUCCAAAGCACAUCGCCUUUCAAUUCUACAGUCUCCAACUUGACAGUCAUCAGCACACCACAAACUUCAACUUUAACCUCACACUAAGAUUUCUCCAAUUUUCAUCCACCUUGUUUAGAAAUCCACUGAAUGCAUCAAAGUAUGCCAAAUAUGAAUGAUUGCUCAGGAUUGACAGAAACCAGACAUUUCUACCAGUCAAAUGCUAGAAAUCAGCAACAGGAUAUGUGCUCGUAAGUUCUGAUCCUAUCAUUAAUGUUCCUGUUUUCCUGUAGGUAUAGAUAAUGAUAUCAUAAUCUCUAUGAUGGUAACUGAACAAGAUUGUGGUUACAAAAUCUUCUUGAAGAGUGAGGAAAGCAUCUAAUUAUAGUUUGAUGAGAACCAACAGAUAAAGGUGGAGAUGGAGUUGAAGUUCUUCUUAGAUGAUCAGAAGUAGCACAGGGAGCCAAUCAAUAGAUAAAGUUGGAUAUGAAGUUAAAAGGAACUCUUCGCAAAUGAUGGGAAAUGGCACUUAUCAGUCACUAUAAACUGCUGAAAUUGCAAUAGCUCAAAAAGCAAUAUGGAGAGACAAGGGAAGUUGUUCAUCCUGACCUCAAGAAGAAGGCAUUUAAAUAAAAGCAAAAUCGUGUACUGAUGCCACAGAUCUAAGAACUUGACUAAUAUAGGAGCCCGAUCGACAUUUACUUAUCCUAUGCUACACAGGGAAGACUUACCCACCCACCUGCCCCUAAGAAAAGUAUAGGCAUUGGUUGAGCCAUCAGGAGUAGGUACUUUUCCCAAAAUGAUCCUGUGAUACAAUAUAUAUGCUAACAAUCAGGAUUAAAUACACAGAAGCUCAUUAGGUAGGUGAAGAUUAGAAGGGUGUUUACUAUCAAACUCAGAACAAAGGAAAAAAACAAAAGAGCUAAUGGGCUCAUUUAUGAAGAGAAUUGCAUUACAAACAUUAGGCAAGCACAGAAUCACAUGGUGAAAUGUUUUAGUUCCUUUUACCAAUUACAUGUUAUUAUCUCCAAAUAAGAAAGAUAACAGUGAAACCAAAAGAUCAAGCAAUAAAAGUGCUUUGACUUUUUUGAAUACCAUGGAUCAUAAAUCCAGCAGUAGAAAUGGCACUUGGCAAGCAAUGAAAAUAUAACAAACUUAGGCUAAUGGAAAGGAAAGGCAAGGCAAUCUUAAUUUUACUACAGAAGUUAUUAGCUACUAACAAGCUCUAAACAAGAACUCUAAAUCAUGUUAUCAUUUCCGAUAUGCAAGUGUAGUGUUCAUCAAUUGCUAUAUCAAUAGUACAUCUAUUAAGAGAGACUACAGAUGUCUCUCAACUCAUAAGUUCUCUUGCAAUUGAGGCUUAAUAGACUCCUUGAACAACUUCACGAACAAGUUGCAGCGCCUGUAAGUACUAACGUCAGCUGUAUUAUAACAGAACUUGUACGUCAUCUCAUAUUAUGGAAAGCUGUGUAAUCUGCAUUGCUUUCAAGCAUCUUACUAAUACUAUAAGUUUCAAAAUGUAGCUGGAACUUGUAAGAAAUUUUUAUCCCCAUGUCUUUAAUCAGUUUUGCCUCGUAGGGCUACCUAGGCAUUUUAACAACCUCAAUUGUAGUAACAACUACUCGUGGAAAAUAAGGACUUAUCAUAGAUCAUCAGAUACACAUUCCAGGGAUCUAUAUGCAUCUUCCACUAGGAAAUAGAUUUCAAGCUAUAAACUGGAAGGCCAAGAAAAAAAAAAAAAAAUUCAUAUAUAGAAAAGAAGGUUCCAACAAUAGUAACUCCCCUAGUCUACAUAGACGAAACAAAUAAUUUGCAUAUCAUUGUCUAGUGAAGGGAGAAUAAAAAUCAUGAGUUACACACCUAUGAUCAACUUCAACAAGCACUGAGGCACCAAUAUACUUCACUCUGUCUCCUGAAAACAAUGCAAUGAAUUACAGUUUAGCAUGCAUUUCGAGAAUAAAGAGAUCAGGAACAUAAAGAAUUUUGCAACUCAAGCAAACAGCAAAAUGGAACAAUGAUCAGGAGAAGAUGUUCUCCAAGCAAGGUUCUAAAUGCUACUUUCUGUGCAUACAGCCCGUUGAGAUACAGGUGUACCACAUUAUGUACCGACUACUGAAUAUGUUAGCAAGUGCGUACAGUUGCCACACAGCACAUCGCCAGCCAAUUAUAGACUGAACAGGCAUUGUAGUUCAUGUUUGAUUCAUCUAUUUCUUCAAUGAUUCAUUUUUGGCAGAAUCUCGCCAAUUGUGUGCUAUUCACAAACAACUGCCUCGUUAAGUAGGCCUAGAAAUGGAAGAUGAGAUUUCUAAAUCUACCUAAUCAAGUGGGCUAAGAGCCACUAUGGUAGAAAUGCAGAUGAGUAAGGGGUUUACAAUUAAAAUAGCACAUGCCACGAUAUACAUAAAUGCAAGUAUCUCUAUGUUGCAAUGAUCUAUCUCAAUGAAGCUAUGAAACCUCAAACUCAAUAUUUUAAUAAAACAAAAUUGUUUUCAUCUAAGCUCAUCCGAGGUUGCAAUGAUCAAUCUCAAUGAAGAUUUGAAACUGCUAACUACAUAACUCAGUUGCCAAAGCUUCAAUAUCAUGAUAACUAAUUAAGAACUGACCAGCAUUUAUACUAAAAUAAAAUGAAACCAGAGAAGAAAGCCCAAUAUCACAUUACCCUUUUUGAGAGGUCGUUUUGAUUGCUCUGAUGACUCAGCAGUUUCUGAGGUUUCUGAUGUUGAAGUACUCUCAGCUUCUCCAGAAACUCUCUAACACAUGAUAUUUCAUAACAGCAUCAUAAGCAAGACAAGUCAUCAAUCAAAAGUUCAAUCCUUAAUAAAUUGAAACAAUAUUGCAUUACCAGUUUAUGCAAUAACAAUAACAUAAUUUGUUGUUCCCUAUAACCUAAAAAGGUCGUAAGACAUUUUUUUUUUUGAGGACAAAAGACCACCAGCUAUGUUUUCGCUAUUACUGACAUAGACUGACAUCCUAUAAUCAGGCAUACUAACUAAAAGAACAACCCCAAAAAUCAGGAGAUGCAGCAUUAACCUCAUACUCUCACAACUUACUGAUAUUCAAUCUUCUCACUGAGGAAUAAUUGAAAUAUCAAAAUUGCAUUUACAAUGGUAUUCUACGGAUAGCCAUACGACAGAAGUAUGACAGAUAGUCACAUAGCCAGAUCAUGUGAGCACGAGCACAAUGUUCGAGACUCAAGAGCCUCAAGAUAACACACAUUAACAAGUCUCAGCAUCUAAUCCAAGCAGGACUCACGGGACUACCGUGGACCAAUUGCUCCUUUUUCAAUCCCUUAUAAAUUCACAAUAAGAAAUGAAACCGUCCUGUGCAGUCCUUCUGUAUCAAAAGAAAAUUAUGCUCCUGAAAAUAUCUGAAAUAUUUUUUACAGGGUAUCUUUAUUUAAAUGGCUAAAUGCUUAUGAUAGCAUAUUCUGUAUCUUGUCAAAACCAUUAAUACGGCAUGAUCUUCGAUUACUGUCCUCCAUGAUAAUAUAAGUGCAUGGACAAAUUAAGACGGUGCAGAGAUCGUAAAUCUCAGAAAAUAAAAAUAAUUUGGUAUCGUAUUUGUUUUUUCUUAACACCAAUUCUGUAUAAUUUGAUGUAUUGGAGGAAAGACUUCUUUUCUUUUAUAGUUGACUAGCUUAUAAUUCAUCCAGCUAAAUGAUAGAUGAUAACUUGCUUAAAAAAAUUUUGGAAGUAAAAAAAAAGUUGCUUUCAAAUUUUUAUUUUUUGCUGCCAAGUAAACACUUUGGAUGAAAGAAUUGCAAAAAAUCAACUGUCCACUCCUACACUUUUUGAUAUACAAAAUUCUAUUUUAAAAAAAAAAAAACAAACAAGAUACCAAAAGAGGCCUAAAUGAAUCAAUUGUUAAACUAAAGCAAUAUGUACAAAAUAGAAUGCUUAUAAAAUUCCGCUAGUGAUACUCUCUAGUAACAAGAUUCAAACUGUACAAAAGUGAUUAAUAAGGCAACGCCCUGAGUAAUGAGCACCUUUCUACUGCUAUAGCAAUAGUUCAAACAAGUUAUAAGUCAAUUGCUUACUCUAAUAAAUAAUUCUUUCACACCUUGGCAAAUUCUUCAAGGCUGCAUGGGACGAGUUUCCUCAAGGCUUCAGCAGAUUUUUGCAAAGCAUCAUCAUCGUCGCUUUCACCAGAUUUAGCUUCAUUACUACUCGUCCAUUCUUCUUCAUUGCUUGCUUCAUUCUCCUCCUCUGACUCUGACGUGCACUCCUCCCCCGACUCUGCAUUUUCUUCGUCGUCCGUCUCACUUUCGGAGGCGCAAUCAUCACCAAAGUCCUGCGAGAUAUAAAAAUGAGCAAAGGAAAAUAGAACAUCACAAGCAAAUCAACGCUAAUAAAAGAAAGGAAAAUACGUUUAAAUCAGGAAUUGUAUACGUGGAAAAGAAGGAAUAUGCUGUCCUUACAUAUGGAGCCAGAACACUGCUGUCGAGAACCAGUAAUGGGACUUGUAAUUCCCGAGCCAAUGCUCUUACUAACCUUUCCCGGUAAAGCUCAGUUCCUAAAUAGAUAAUAAUUCAGUUACUGAUCCAACCUUUUUCAACAAAUAACCAGAACAAUAUUAUGAAAGUCAGCAGAACAGCAGCAUGAACUUUUUUCAGAAAUAACCUGGGACACUCUGAAGCAAUAUCCUCGCGCUCGAAGAAGCCAGCCGAGCACCGUAGGAUGACGCGAAAUUUUUGUGCCUCAGAUGGGAGGACGCACAUUCGACUAACACCUUUUUUGUAUUCUCACUUACAAUAAUAGCAAGAAAAAAGAAAAACAUCACAACAAGGCAUGCGAUUUUCACAAACAUAAAGAGCAAACAAUCUGGAGAAACACGGACUCACUUAAUAUAGUAGGGGAAGUUGUCCCACGAAACCGUGGUCUUCUCCCACGGAACCACUCUGCGCAAGAACUCGUUCUUGAACCUCUCCCUCUUGGUUAAAAACGGAGAUUCCCUCUUCUUACAGUCAAUGGAGAACUUCUCGCCGUUGAGCCACUCUUGCUGGUCUUGUUCGCCGAGCCACGCAUGCUCGUUGUAAUUUCUCGAAUUGGUUACAACCGCCUCUUUACUAACCUUAGCUUUGUCCAAGUUCGUCGCGUCUUUAACCGGCACACGUUUGCCCUCACUUGCACGACUACCAUCACCUUUGGAGCUGUAAAAUCUAAGCAUACCAUACGAAUCGCGCGCGCUAUACCUUUUACAGUUCCCUACAUUGCAACUACUUGGGAAUGAAAGCGGCGGAGUUGGGCCGAAUUUUCUGAUAACUGUACCUUUCACAUUGUGGUGUAAAUGUGAGAUAUUACUACAACAAGAUUGUGAAAUAUCCCUUGAUUGUCCACCAAAUAGGAAUUUCCAAUUAGGAUUUCGACACUUCAAUCUCCUGGCAUACAUUGCAAACUUUUGUGACCAGGAAAGGUUUUACUUCAUUCCCAGAUGUGUUAUUGCUGCGCCUGCGAUAGGAUAAAGCAAGAAAAUGAUUACCCUGCAAAGAAAAAUAUACAAAAAAAAGAGUGUUAAUGAAAAUGUAUUGCAACUUUUGCACCCACAACUUAUUAUGGGAUUGUUUUAGAAAACGGGAGCUCUGAUUAGCUAAUUUCUUUGGAUCAAACGAAUAGAUUAAACGAAAUAUAUCGGAAAAAAUCGCAACUUUCGAGAAAUUUUGAAUUUUCAUACCUUAGAAACGGAGCAAGCAUACGGCCUCGGCGUAUAGGAGUGGAAAUUAAUCAAGAAAUAUCCAAAAAAAAAAAAAAAAACUUCGUUUAACCAAAUCAACAGAAAAAGGCUUAAAAAACAAACAAAUCCGAGCACAAAAAAAGAGCCUUCAAAGAAACAGGAUAAGCUUCGAGAAAGAGAGAAAAAUUGCGAUGGAAACCCUAAAGUCGUUAUUGGGGAGUGAAAAGAAUCAAAACCUUCGUAAACUUUUCUCUUCCGUGUGGGUCUCUUCUUUGUUUUUUCUAAUUUCUCCGAUUUUUUCUUUUUUUUUCACAGCGGCGGAGAAGAGGAGGGGAGAGAGACCGAGAAGGGCACACCGGAUGUUGCGCUACACUUUCGUGUUCGCGAUCGCUUCUUAAGGAUCGGCUUGGUUCUUGUGCGGGUCAAGGAUUUUGGGAUUUAAAGGGAUUGGGCCAAAUUUUGAUAGCAUAGGCCCCCAAAUGGGGACUCGAAAACAGAUCCACCAAGGGCUUGUUUCGGAUCUUUCCAUUUUCUCGGAUUGGGCCGUAUUUCACUAAUCCCACGAGGGGAGAUUUUUACGAUGCACUAUCAAAAUCACUUAAAAAAAAAAAAAAAAAAUUUAUCUUUGCUUUACCAGCGCUGUUACGGAGACUUCACCAUGUAACUUGCUUGGGUUUGCAUGAGUGCUAAUCUCACCACUAAAUACAUUAGAAGAUUCAGAGCUGUGAAAUCAUAAAAUUUGUUUCGUUCAUGCAUUAAGUUACGAGAAAAAUGCUUUGGCAGUGUCUUUGAUUUAUCUUUUGUUUUACAAUAAUUUUACAAUGUUUUUAGAUGGAAGAUUUGCGAUCAUUGCCCGGCUGAAUGCGCUGCUUCAGUUUCAACCUGCUCACUCAUCUGAACUUCAAUCGUAAAAGAAUACGCCCAUCAACCAAUAAAUGAGGCUCGAAAAAGGCCGUAAGUAGAGCUGAGCGAACUCAAUCUAACCUGCCUUAACCGGCCUGCAGGGUAGAGUCAGGACUGAAAAUCAACAGACCCCGAACAACGUGGUUUUGCUUUCAGCAAUAGUCGUCUUUCUUUCCACCCAGGCACUAGGUUUUACCAGUAGUCCUUGCAGGAGCACUCCCCGCCCUCAAACCGGUGAAACCUCGCUGUAUCCCGCACAACGAUAACCCGACUGUAGGCCUUAGAUAUCAGCUUCGCCGCCAAAUGGCAAUCCCUGCAUAUUCUGAGGUUCUUGAUCACCCGGAUUGUCUCCCCCGGCGGGGUACUGAUUAAACCGAACGCAAUAGUGAGCUUCUCGCUGUGGUGGUACAGCGCAUUCUGCUUCUCCUCCUCCCCGAUAUCGUGCAACACGUCGCCGGUCUCCGGCUCGUAUCCGAGCUCCCCUAUCCUCGCCGCGAUGUCCUCCAAUGCCCUGUAUAUCUCCCUCCACCGCUCGUGCCCCGUGUCGCCGUUCACAAAUCCGUGCACCACCCCACCCACCUCGGUGUAGCUGAACCCGGGGACCUUGCGGACGUCGUUGCUCCGCAUGGCGUCACGGAUGCGGCCUACGUCGGUCCAGCGUGCCUUGGCGGCGUACACGUUGGAGAGGAGCACGUAGUCGCCGUCAACAUUGGAGCCCAUCUCUGCGAGCUUGGCGGCGGCGAGUUCGGCGAGGGCGACGUCGCCGUAGGUCUUGCACGCGCCCAGGAGGGUCUGCCACAGCACGGCGUCGGGGGGGAAGGGCAUGGAGGCGAUGGUGUCGCGCGCCUCGGCGAGCCGGCCCGCGCGGCCCAGCAGGUCGACGACCGCGCCGUAGUGCUUCAUGCUGGGCGCGACCCCCCGCAUGGCGCGGAACACGCGGAGGCCGUCGUCGACGAGCCCCGCGUGGGUGCAGCCGCAGAGCACGGCGAGGUAGGUGACCGCGUCGGGCUGGAGCUUGCGAGGCAUUUCGUCGAACACCCGCAGCGCGUCGAGGCCGCGGCCGUGCGUGGCGAGGGCGAGCAGGACGGCGUUGUAGGAGACGACGGUGCGAUCGGCGUCGCCGAUGGCGCGGAAGACGGCGACGGCGCGGUCGAGGGAGCCGCACUUGGAGUACAUGUCGAUGAGGGCGUUGCGGACGCGGACGCCGGCGUCGAGGCCGCGGGCGCGCGCGAAGCGGUGGACGGCGGCGCCCUCGGCGAGGUCGCCGAGCAGGGCGCAGGCGGAGAGGGCGGCGACGACGGUGAUGUCGUUGGGGGCCUCGCGCGCGGGGAGGGAGGGGAGGGAGGCGCGGAGGCGGCGGAAGAGGGCGAGGGCGAGGCGGGGGUCGGGGCCGAGGGCGAGGCCGGAGAGGAGGGCGUUCCAGGUGGCGACGUCGCGGAUGGGCAUUUCGUCGAACACGCGGCGGGCGCGGGGGAGGUCGCCGGACUUGGCGUAGGCGUCGAGGAGGGUGGUGGCGAGGAGGGGGUCCGGGGAGAAGCCGAGGCGGAGGAGGAGGGAGUGGAGCUGGAGCGCGGGGGCGAGCGAGGAGGAGCGGGCGCAGGCCUUGAGGGCGAAAGAAAGAGAGAGCGCGUCGGGGCGAGGAGAAGUUGGGGGGGAAUGGGAGAGGAGGAGGCGGGAGAAGAGGGAGAGGGCGGAGAGGGGGUUGGGGGAGGAGGCGAGGGCGCGGAGGAGGGGGUUGAAGUCGUUGGCGGAGGGGCGGUGGUGGGGGCGGAGGGAGCGGAGGGCGAGGAGGGCGUGCGGGAGGGAGGCGCAGGAAGGGGAGAGGGCGCAGAGCUCGAGGAAGCGGGCGCGGAAGGCCGGCCGGGCGUGGAAGAUGCCCGACGUCAGCAGGUGCGCCUGCAGCUGCUUGAUGUGUCCCAGCGUGCUGCACCGCUCUACCACCCCCUCCAGGUGCAGGUGCGCCAUCGCAUCGGAAUUCGGAAACGGAACUCGGCGGCAAACGUGUUUGAUCUUUGUUCGAUUUAUUGCCCACGCCAGACAGAGCCCUUUAUUUAAGAUGCAGUGCUGCUGCAAGGCCCAUGACGGCUAGAGGCCCGGGCCUGGCCUUUGGAGGCCUUGGGAAGGGCCUGGGCCUACUCUCGGCCCAGACUCUUCUGAGAAGGGACAACAAGUCUUUUGACCCAACAUAUGUUAUUGGUGCAAACCUUCUAACUUUCUUUUUCUCUAACCGGCCGUCCCUAGAGCAAAUGGCAAAGGACUUGAAUACUCAGAGACUAAGUAUUGAAUAAUAAUUAAUUCAUAUUUUCAGCUAAGUUUAUUUCUUAAAUGAAAUAAACGGAACGCGGGAAAGUGCAACAUUCUCCUCUCAAAAAAAAAAAAAAAAAUCUUUCUUUUUCUCUAAUUAUUGAAAGCAACCUAACUUUCUUUUUGGAAUAGAGCUUCUAAUUAUUGUAACUUGAGUUACACUUUUUAAAUUGCUGGAUUUAUAAGAAAGCAAUGAGCUAUUCGUAGUUAAGGAAUUUCAAAGUUUUAUGAGGUGAAAUAUUGACAUAGAUAGUUAGAUACAUUUAAUGGAAUUACAUCAAGAUUGAACAAAUAACCACUAAUAAUAAUUCCUCCUCGUUGCCUUCCGGGCAACUAGGAGGCUGCAUCAAUCACUAUACAUGUACAGUAAACCACACCCAAACAAACACACGGCGCAUGUGCGUGAAAGUCACAGCUCAUGCAAAUCUCAAACUUCGUCCCCAUCCAGUGGGGAGUCGAGAACGAGUGUUGCACUGAAACGCAUGCAGGUCCUAUCUCUCAGGCCAAUGGAGUUGAGUUCUGAGUAUAAAUUUCGUGCAACCAAACAUGCCCUUAUUCAUCAGCAACAAAGAGGACAGCGAACGAGCCCAUUCUCAUUGCAAUCCGGGCACCGGCGAAACCCCCGAACCUCCUCCUCCUCCUCGACGUAAACCUUACAACUCCCCGAGCACAUACGGCACGGCACGAACCGCACGUCGCCGCAACCUACACACGUUCCUCCCCCUUUCGCCUUCUCCGCGGCAGCAUCGCACCGCGACAACAACAACCUCCCCAGCUCCCCUUCUUCGUGCAUCCUCCUCACCUCCUCGGCGCCCCCCAGAUACUCCCCGUCCACGAAAACCCGAGGGAGCUUCCCCGCGAAGCUCUCCCCCAGCAGCCCCUUCAGCUCCUCCUUGAAGCCCCCGUGCAUCGACACGUCCCUCUCGUCGACGCGCGCGCCGUAGCUCUGCAGGAUCGCCCGCGCGGCCCAGCAAUCCUCGUAGGUUCGACGCACCCCGCGGAGGGUCGUGAGGUAGAGCACCACCCUGCGCUCGGCCCCCGGGGGCGGGGAUCGGGUCGAGGGCGACACCUUCGCGGAAUUGGGGGGGUUGGCCCUCGCCCUCCUCGCGUCGAUCCUCUCCUGGAACGCGGCGAUCCUCGCGCGCACGAUCCCGGGGAUCUCGCGUUUGCUCCGAUCCCGGGGAUCGAAGAUCCCGUCUUUGGUCGAAAACGGGGGGGGCGAUGGGCUUUGGAGAGCGUCGCGGAAGGAGGAUAAGAUCUCGGGAUCGAGCUCCGAGACGAUCGGAUCGAGGGGUAAGAACCCGGGCUUCGGCGGAUCCCUCGUGGUGUGGAAGGAGAAGGAGCGGUCGAUGGAGGGGCGGAGCGCGUCCUCGAGGCCCUCCAUGAGCUCCCACGCGUUGAUGAUCUCCGGCGCGCGCGGCGGCGUCGCCGUGGGCGUGCGCGGCGGGAGCCGGCGCCGGCGCCGGAGCUCUAUCGUCGUCCCCGGCCACGAAUCGGCUUCUUUCGAGGGAUCGUCGGAGCUCGUCUUCGCGAUCUCCUCCUCCUCCUCCUCCACCUCGGCGGCGGCGGCGGCGGUGCUCGGGGCGCGGUCGAGCACGAGGGACCCGAGGGUGGAGGAUCUGAGCGCGACGGUGUGAGAGGAGAACUCGCCAUGGGCGCCGUGGCGAUCCACAGGGAGGGAGUAGGUCCGCGCGUACGGGGCGCGGCUGCGGCGCCGCCCCUCGCCGCGCGCCUCCGCGGAGUUCGCGCAACCCAUGGGGCAAACCCAACACAAGGGAAACGGGGAAUUCGAGGGUCUCGUUUAAAGCUCUACUUCGCCAUGAGCGUGGGAGUCAAAGGAGAAGCGGUGGCGGAGAAGACGACGAAGGCGACCAAGUCAACGUCUCACUCGCACAAAGCUUUGUAGAGGUAAAAAGAGAGACAAAUGGUGCGAGGGCGAGUUUCGUGAGAAGGUGCGUUAUAUGUAGCGCUCGCUCAUCACACGGUUGGAGCCCAAUUGAUUAAAUCCCAACGGCCCCACCUGAUUGGGACACGUGUCGGCUAGAUGCGAGGAAGGGACGGUGAUUCCGCGGUUUGGUUUUUGGGAGCUGGUGAUGAUGGUAAUUAGUUAAUUAAUUAAUCAAUUAAUCAAUCAAUCAACAACGAACAAGUCGGUGGAUUUGGUGCCGUGGGAUUGAGUCAAGUAAAUGGGGAGCGUUCACCUUCCGAAAUUAGGCUGAGGUGGUGGGUGAUAAGAAAAGUAUUUUAUAGUUACUAUGGUCUUAUCUUCGCUUGUUUACUUUAUUGUUUUACCGCAAUAUUCUUGUUAAAAACUAGUAAUUUAAUUUGUUACUCAAGAUUCUCAUAUAUUAUCAAGUUUUAGGUAUGUUAAUUGUUGCAUUCUACUGUAUAGAAAUGAUUUUAAUCCAAACAUAAUAGCAUUCGCCUCUAUUAAACUAACAAAGCUUUCAACUUUAGAGCGCAUCAAGAAUUAGUGAUUCGUCGUGCGAGUUGGUGAAAGUUCCCAUCUCACCCCAGGAGAAAAUGUUGGAUAAUUAAAAAAAAAAAAAACUUGCUCCGGAAAUGGUUGGAUAGCAAGAACUCAAUGGUAGAACUUCUGAUGCCACUCGAAGCCCCACAUCUGUUUGUUUGGAUCAUGCCGCAGAACUCGAAAAUAUGGAUAACCAGCAUGGGACCUACAGCAAUUAUCUCUCACGACCCCGCCACUUCUUAAACAGAUGAAAGUCCCGACAUCGCGCAACCAUUACCAGAUAUCGAUUUUGCUGAACUCGUGAGCUCCGACGGGCGACAAAUCGGUAAAGCCAUACAACCCCUUCAUGUGCCAAAAACAAAUCUUGAGAUCUUCAUUCAUGUGCAAGGAACCUUAAAUUACAACAGCAAAUUGAGAGACCCAAUGUCUUGAAUGUACAACCAGAACAUGAGUUUGCAAUUAGAACUUGAUGGAGGAUUAGACAUGCACAUCUAACACAGUAAUAGCUUUGUAAAAUGCAUAUUUUCGCGUAUGUUAUUACAUUCCACAAAAUAUUUUGAUUUUCAGUGGUUAUAAUAGGAGGUACAGACCUAUCUACUUCGGCAACUUCAUUACCAAUGAGUCCCUCAAAACAACUACUCGUUACAUCUACAAUAAACCAUAAUAAUAGCGAAAAUAUGACCCGGUACAACUGCACUAUCUACAAAUCACACAGGCGAGAUGAAGUAGGCUCAUUUCAUUUUACAUCACAAGAGCGCAUACGCACAAACACAUUAUUUGUUCACUUCUUGCUACCAUGGCUGGCCAAAUCAGCUGCAACCUUUGCAGCCCUGUUUAGGGCAUCAGACACCAUCAUGGCUCCUGCGGAGAAGUAGCUGCUGCUAACCACCGAAUUAGCGACACUUGCCGCCGUUCUCCCUGUGGCGGACACAACGGAUCUGGUGGUUUGCGAUACAUGGUAUCGGUCGUCCACCGAUUUGACCGUAUCAAUCCCAGCAUUAAUCUUAUCCGUCAAUCCGAUCCUCUUACUUAAAUCAGCAAUCUUUGCUGCAGCAGUGGCCGAUACCUGAUGAGAUUCGUCAAAGGCUUUGGCCUUGAUUAGGGCAUCUUUGCUCAGUUGGUAACCCCUUGAGAGCAUGGUUUUGACAACAUCUUGUGCCACUGUCACAGCUUCACCUGGGGUAGCCCUAAAUUGGCAGGCAUGUACAGUCUGUUGAGAUAAAUAUGGAAUCAGUCGAGAAUAGAUAACAGUAUUUACUUGCUACACUACAGAAUAGAAUUACUUCCCUGGGAGCUGAAUAAGCAUAUGAAAGAAUUUUUCACUAGAUUAUUACUACUUUUGGGACUAGAAAAGUAUUUACAGUUAGAACAGUGAGUGUUUACCAGGUGAUGAACUUAUAAUUCAAAUGAACAAUUUGACUUUCGGGUCGCAUGUGGGUUUGCAUGCCUUUAUGUGAUUGAUUGUGCGUACACCAAUCUAUAUUCGACCGAAUGUUUAUCAGGUCAAUCACAUAAUGGCAUCCACACCCACAUCCAACACAAAGUCAAAUUAUUCAUUUGAAUUUUAAGAUCAUGACCUGAUAAACAUUCACUAUUCUAACAGUAAAUACUUUUCUCCUGAGAUAAAACUAUUUUAAUAGAAGAUUGCACUUAAAUUUUAGGUCAUGCAAAAAAUGUAGAGAACUUCAACAACAACAUGAAGGACACAAACCGUGGACUCAUAAUCUUCAAAACUCCAAGAAGGCCUGUCCCAGAAAUUAGAAGGUUCAUCGUAUUGUCCCCAUCGAGAAAUGCACACUGGCUGAUCUACAAUAGUAGCUCCCUGCAAAAAAAAAAAAACAAAAGACAUCCAAUGGAUUUCCAUUGUGAAUAAGGUGGAUCGAACAAACGAAUCACAUUUAUAUGGCAACCGAUACAUUUACAAAAAGAAGCAAUAACGAAAAGAGAUCUUAUUAUAUGUGAUCCACAUUUACAAAUUCUACAGUCCAGAAAUCAAUAUAAAAAGAUAAAGAACCGGGUGAACAGGAUGGCAGUUUCAAUCUCGAAGUGAACUGAAAUGUGUAAUCAAAUAAGGGAGUAAAAGUGCAAGUCCUCCUAACUGCCUUCAAUGGUAGUCGUUUCACAGAUAACCCUGCCUUGCAAUGAGUUCCGCCGGCGAUUUAUUCCACGCCAUGAAAACUCACAAUUUGUAUUUCAAGUAUAACAGAAUACCAGGUGAAGAAACUUGAGUCUUCAUAACUAAGCAUGCCUAGUGCUACGGAAGAUGAGGGUUGACGACCACGUUGACCAGCCACAGGUCAUUACAUUACUAUUGGGAGUUAGUCCCAUCCAAGGAGAAGAGAGGAUAAAGAGAGAAAAGAAGACUUCGAAACUUACAGUAAGCAAGACAGCAGUUUCCAAGGCAUGGGGUUCUCUGAAUGUUACAUAAGCAGUGGAACCGUGCUCGCCUGAUCUGCUCAGCAGUGAAUAAUAAAACAUAUGAAACACUACUCACGCAGAGAUAUACAAAUUCAACUCAUAUGCAAAGACAAUACGGCACAUAGAAAUGUUAAAAGCAGUAAUGAACUGUAAGGUUUAGCUCAUUUUCUUUCUAGGAGUCAUGUAAAACUAUCAAUGUACUAAAAAACGGAAAAUAAUAUUCUGCGCAGGUUAAUGAAAAAUAGCUGACUGAAAUUGCAUACAGAUCUCGGCUAUCACCUGAUGAGUUCAAUGUGAUCGAUAGCCCCAGAAAAAGAAAAGAAGUCGUAGAGAUCUCUUUCAGUAACUCUCCCGGAUAGGUUAGUGACUUCCACCGUGUACCCGUCUAAGCUCAUGAUCCUGGAAAUCGAUGUUACGCAGCAACAUCAAACGAAUUGCACAACCAACUUAGCUUUAUAUUAGUUAAAAGGAAAUUAUACGAGACAAUUCAAUGAAAAACAUUACAUUGGCAAUACGGUAGAAACCAUUAUGCAAUCUAUGUGCCCUAAAUUGCAAAUUUGUACGUGUUUGAAAGUAUUGGAUAAUUAAAAAAGAGGAACCUGGAUAGGAGCAUAGUAAUCUCUUACCAUAAUCAAAUAAUAGAUUUUCAUAUAGUCACACAAGGUUUUUGAUCCACUCAAACUAUUUUUACGCAGCAGCAGCAACAACAACAACAAAAAACUAGACCUUGACUACUUGUUGUAUAAUAAAGAGCAUAAGUGCAAGUGAAUUCCAGUAAGCAACAUUAAAUUAAAAUUGAGAACGGAAAAUUGAAAAAAAAAAAAAAACAUAAAAAAAAGGGGAAAAGUCCAAAAAUAAGGAGAAUUACUGCAAAAUUUCUGGAAGAUAAAGCUGUUAUUGCCAAAAACCCCUUUGUAAAAUUAAAUCUGAUCAAAUAAAGAACAACAACCAGCCGAUUAUGAGCCCAGAUUUCAGAAUUGGAAAGCAAAUUAACAAAAAAAAGAGGCUUAAAUCGAUGGAUUUUCGGUGAUUUAAACACCCAGAACAGUUUAAUUCCAACUUAAAAAGCAUCAAUUUGGGCAGAUCCUAAGGUAGAGAGAAAGAAAGAGAGCUUACCCCUAAUUCGCUGAAUCUGAUUGCUUCUUCGUUAGCGAAUGAAGAGGAGAAGAGGAGAGGGUACGCUUCGCCUUGUUUAAGCAAUACACUACUAUUACAGUGCUAAGAACUUUUUAACGCAGCGUUUGGUUAGGGAUAAGGAUAGGAAUAGGUACUUACCCUUCUCUUUAUAUUCAAACAUUAUUUUUUUAUUCGAAAAUAGUAAUUCUCGGUUAUUCCCAUCAAUAUUUUUAUUUUUUAUAUAAAACUAUCUAAAAUUGUUCUUAUUUUCGGAAACAAUCCAAUUUUCAUCCAAACACUAUUUUUCUUAUCCUCAUAUUUGUACCUAUCCUUAUAAUAACUAGUUCUUAUUUAUACCCGAAUCAAACGGUAAAAGUACUGCAUUCAGUGUUCUUUCCCCAAAUUUACUUAGAAGGAAACUGCUUUAUUAAGCGUGAAAUUACUAAUAAGACCCUGGAUCCUUAAACCUGAGAAACAAGGCCCGAAGUUUCCAGCAGGAUCAUGUAGCACGUUUUUUUCACUAAUUAACCUUUCAUUCAUGUUAUUUUAACUGCGCAAUAUGUUAGGGCACCGACGAAGAAAGUAGGCUGAAUAUUAUAAUGACGAAUGACGCUCACAAAUUUUUUUUAGAAAAACCUUCAAAUAACACCCUUGUAAUUUCACACUUUUUUCUUUUAGUAUUCUGUAAUUUAAAAUAUAUCAAUUUAGUAUUCUAUAAUUUUUUUUAUUUUUUUAUUAUCAAUUCUACUAUUUUUUUUCAUUAAAUUAGUGAUAAACUUAAAACUAAAGUAUACUAAAGUAAAUAUUCAGUAAAUCUAGUUGGGGUGUUUGAAAUUUUUUGUAUAUAAUUUAACAAAAUAUUAAUGAAAAAAGUUGAAGGGAUAAAAAUGAAACCACAUGAUACUAACUCAAUACACUUUAAACCAUAGUGUACUAAAGUGAGAACGUGCGAAACCACGUGGAUGGUAUUUGAAGUUUAUCUAAAAUUUUAUCUUUUUUCAUUUUGCCCUAUUUUGAUUUUAUUUUUUUUUCUGAGGCCUUACUGUCUCAUUGCAUGUACUUAAAUUUAUUUGCUAAAUAAAUAAAGUAAAUAGUGCGCUAUUUUUUUUCUCAAAUUUUUUUUUUUUUCAUUCAUGUUAUAUGUCUCUAGUUUAAAUGGCAAAAACAUUUUAGUUUAUAACUGAUCAUUCCUAGAGCAAGUGGCAAAGGGCUUGGUGGUUGGUACCCGAGACCUAAGGUCGAAUCCUAGUUGAUUAACGUUUCCAGCUAAAUUUAUUUCUAAAUGAAAUAAACGAAACGGGUAGUGUGCUACCUAUCUCCCUCUCAAAAAAAAAAAAAAACAUUUUACGCUCAAAAUUUAAGUUUGAAAUUUAAUUAUUUUAUAUUUUGAUUUACGUUUGUUUUAAAAAAUUGAGUGAAAAAAACCGUUCAUUUGUGUUGUAAUAUACCAAGACGAGAAAUUAUUUUACAAAAAAAAAAUAAUGCUAUAAUAAUAUUUGUAUACCUUGUUUUUUAAAAAGAUUAGUUAUAAUUAAUCACUUGUCACACUUGACGGAUUACUUAAUUUCAUCACAAACAAUUGUGUUUGGCUUUUCAAAAAAACAAAAAAUAAAUUUUCAUGUGAAAUUUAUUUUUCUAAUUUUUCGUGUGUUUCAUUUUUCUAAAAAUUAAUACUUUUUUAAAAGAAAUUAGAUUUUAUGACCAAAUAGUAUUUUUUGAAAAUAUUAGGUAGGAAAAGAUGUUGACGAAAAAUUGUAUUUUCGUUUUCUGAAAAGAACUAGUGUUCUAUUUUGAACAUUAGGUAGCCGAAGGAUGGCAAUGAGAAACUUAAUAUUUAUAUUAGUGUUGUAUUCAAAGAAUGAAAAUACUAAAUAUUUUAAAUCUGAUUUUUUUUUAAAGUAUUUUUUAAAAAUUCAAGCCGACAAAAAAAUUAGGAAAAAAACUUUUUACAAAUAUUCUUUUUCAAAAAAUCAAACACUUUCUUACUGUAUGGGAUUAAGAACAUCAAAUUUUUUUGAAACUCCGAAGGCUAUGUGGAUAAAGAGAUUAUGUCGUGCUUAACUUAAAAAUACGAUUAGAGGCUUUGUUUAUUUCUUUUGGAUAUAAACUUAGCUGGAAAUGUGAAUCUACUAGGAUUCGAACUUAAGUCUUGGAUACAAACCAUCAAACCUUCUACUACUUGCUCUAUAGACGGCCGGUUAGAGGGACACAUGUUAUCCAACCCAUAUUAGGUAGUGUAAAGAUGGAGACAUAUAACCAAAGUAAAUUGGAAGUAUCUCAUAAAGGAGCUUCUUCGUUCGCUGGGAUGCUCCAUAAUAAGAAAUACAAUAUAUAAACAUAUAUGGUAUCGUUUGGUUCGGGGAUAAGCAAAAAGUGGCUAUUUCAGGAAUAGGUAUAAAUUGAGGUAUAAGCGGGGAUUAGAUCAAUUUUGCGUUUGAAUGAAAAUUGAGUUAUUUCUGAGAAUAAAAAAAUAGCGUUUGGUUAGGUAAAUGGAAUAAGAAAGAUAGUGAGUUUUAUAAAUAAAAAAUAAUGAUAUUAUUCUCUUAUUAUAUUUGAAUUUGAAUUUUUAAAAUUUUAAAUUUAUAUUUUUAAAUUUAAAAUUUUAGCUUUGAAAUUUUAAAAUUUAAAAUUUAAAAUCUCAAAUUNAUUAUAAUAUAUAACAUAUUAUAUUUAUUUUAUUUAGUUUUAAUUCAAUUUAUAAUUUUAAUUAAGUUUGAAAUUAAGCAUUGAAAUAGCACUAUUCCACCAAAAUGGUGGAAUAGUAAAUUUCUUGCUAUUCCGGGAUAAUCGGGAAUAGCAAGGUUUGACCGGGAUAAAAUAUUCCGGUCAAAUUUCAUCUCGUUUGGCGGAAUAGCGAGGAUAACUUUCGUUAUUCCCACUUAUCCUUCAAACCAAACGGGGUCAUUGUGAACUUCAUUGUUAUUUACCUAAAUAAAAAAAAGCAGCUCCAAUUUGUAACAAAGUUGAAUAUGUGAUAGGACAGGGGGGCCACAUCUAAAACAAUUAUAAUUAAAAAAAUUUAAUAUCCAGAUAUCCAUCAGUGACAUUGCCACAAGUAUUGACAAUUUCAAAAAAACAAAUUUAUUAUCUUUUCCAACAGAAAAUAUUACCAAAUAUAUCUGAAAAUACAGUAGAGUUAACAUACAUGCAGUGAGAACAUACGAUAAAAAAUUACCUUAUUUAUUUUAUAUGUAUUAUCAAUUUUUUAAGAAAAAAUUUUAAAUAUCACCCAUAUGGUUUCACACUUUCUCACUUUAAUAUCCUGUGGUUUAAAGUGUAUCACUUUCGCAUCCUGUGAUUUUAUUUUUUGCUUUUUGUUAUUCCUUUUUACUAAAUUUUUUUUGUUAAAUCAGUGACAAUGUUAAAACUAAAGGGUACUGAAGUGAAUAUUUGAUAAACUAUAAGUGGGGUAUCUGAAGUUUUUUAUAUAUGAUUUAACAAAAAAUUAACGAAGGGGCUGACGAAAAGAGAAAAAUAAAACGACAGGUACUAAAUUGAUACACUUUAAACUACAAGCUACUAAAGUGAGAAAGUAAAAAAUCACAUAGGUGGUAUUUGAAUUUUAUACUUUGUUAUUAUAUAUUUUUUAUAGUCCUUUCGUAAAAUAUAAAAAUAUAUUUUUAUAUAAUUUUUUUGGAACUCUAUUUUUCAAUACCAAACGUACUCUUAAUCAUUCCAUGCAAUCUUAAUCAUUCCAUCCAAACAACAAUAUCUACAUUCGCAUUUUUUUCGUUUUCCAAAUCAUUAGGCUUUUCUCUUACCUGUUUUGCAGUUUGAUACUGAGCAGUUGAUGGUCUUUAUAUUGUUUGUUGAUCCGUCGCUGAUACAGUAGGACUACGUUAGGUUCAGAGUCUCGAUCAGAGCCAUCGACCAUAAAUCCAAGGGCUCUGCAUGCAUUUGUAGGGUCCCUGAAAGCUGAGUUGCACAUUGGAUGGUUCCUGGAUCUGAAGACAUAAUAAUAAUACCGUGUUUGCAGAAGAUCAUGUUUCUGCUUUCGACCUUGCAAAGUUGAUUAACAUAUUUAUCUCCCUCUCUGAUCCUUCAAUUGCGGGGAAAUAUUAAAAAUUACUUAAAAAAAAAAAAUCUGUUUAGAUUAUUCUUGUGUUAAGGGUCUAUAUGGUUGCAAGUAUUUAAUGCUACAUAGCAGUUAUUAUUAGAAAUUCAUGCAUGAAUAACUUCGCAUGAAGUACCUGAUAAGAGUAACUUAUGCUGAGUUUAAAAGGAUAUGUCAUGUCUUUAUAUUCACACAAGUUCAGACGAGUAUCGUAUGAUUCAUAACAAUUAGAGUUGGUUUGGUACUGAGACUCAUCUGACACUAUUAGAUAAAAUAAAAUUUAGGGUGGGUUUGGUUCCACGUAAAACUGUGAAAAAAAUAUUUUCGGUGAAAAAAAGUUUUACGUCGUUUGUGUUUGGUUUGUAGGAAAAGAAAAGUAGUUUUUCAUGACAGUUGUUUGGUUGAAAGAAAAAGAAAAUAGAUGAAAAACUAUUUAAUAUAUUUUUUAUUAUAUAUAUUAUUAGUAUACUAUAAUUAUUAUAUAUAUUUUCUCUAAUUAUAUAUAUUAUAUAUUAUUAAUAUAUAAUAAUUAUCAUAAUAUAUUUAAUUAUUAUAUUAUUAUAAUUUAUAUAUUACAUAAUAAAUAUGUAAUAUAAUAUAUAAUAAUAUAUAUUUAAUAUUAUAAAAUAAAUUGUUAUAUAUUAUAAAUAAAAUAUAUAUAUAAUAAUUUAUAUAAAAAAUAAAAUAUUACUAUAUAUAUAUAUAUAUAUAUAUAUAUAUAUAUAUAUAUAUAUAUAUAUAAAAUUAAAAAGGGAGAGAGAGCUAGGUUCACUGUUCUCUCUCUCUCGGUCCACGAGGUGAAGCACACCUUGUCGACCGCGUGCAAAAGGAUGUGAGCCGCGCCCGUGAGCCGCGACUUUUUCUCUGUAGCUUUUCGUUUUCCGCUCUGACGGAGCGGAAAACAAAAACGUGAUUUUUCUGUGUAUUCGUAAAAAAAGUUUUCCGGAAAAUUUUUUUUACAGAGAACCAAACAAAGGAAAAAUAUUUUUCAACUGAAAAAAAAAUUUUCGGACUAGUUUUACAUGGAUCCAAACACGCCCUUAGGUAAAAGCACAUAAGGAUAUGCUCCUACAUUUUCCGGUGGGAUCGCAUAAAAUAUAUCAUAAUCAAUGCAUCGUGGUAUGCGAAACGAAAUAUUACGUACGAAAAUAAAAUAUAGUAUUUUUUUCAUCAUAUUUUCUUACCGCACGUAACGCAAUUUCUCCGUAAUUCCAAACGAAGCCUUACAGCUGUAACACAAAAUGCUUUCAUUAGCACAUAUAUAUUUGCAUACAUAGAUUAGAUUAGAAUAUUAUUAAUAGCACUAAAUUAUUGGUACUAUUAAAUUUUUAACCCUUGUAUAAAAAAAAUAUGCGGUUAGAAUAAUUAUGAUUUUCUUAGGUUUAGUGAAUGGUUGAUAAAAUAGCAUGAUCUAAAGGAUGAAAUGGUCAAAAAAAAGUAAGAUCUAAUAGCGAAAAGUUGAUAGCGUUAGAUAGUUAAUGCUAUUGACGGCCGGACUCUGUAUACUUACAUUGAAAGAUUCUCUCAUGUAGUUAGAAAAGCAUAAUUUUAUGUACUUAUAUUGAGGGAUUUUGUUGCACACAGUGAGCUCGUAGAACACAUUUUUUUAUUUUUUGAAGAAAAAUUUUAAAUUUGCUAAUUUAAAAAAUUUUGUACUAGCUCUUCAAAUUAGUAGGAUUCUAACUCAUGACUAGGGGUGGAAACGAGCCGAGCUCGAGCGAGCUUAUGUCAGCUCAAAUUCGGCUUGAAAUUAAUUUCGAGCCUAAAUCUAGGCUCAAGCUCGGCUUAAAAUUAAUUCGAGCCGAGCUCGAGCAAGCCUAAUUUCGAGUCGAGCUGAGCUCGAGCUCUAAACGAGCCGAUUGAAAUUCUCGACAUUAUAUAAUCAAUAGUUUAAUUUUUAUAGAACAUUACCUAUAAUUUGAUGCAACAUGUCCAAUAGUUCAAAAUACAAAAUAAUUAUAAAAAAUGUGAGCUAGGGUGACUUCCUGACUCGAUGAGGGUCUGAGAGAGAGAGAGAGAGAGAGAGAGAGAGAGAGGAAAAAAAGUAGGGAUUUGAAAAUUUGAAUGUUAUCAUGUUUUAGGGUUAUGUGCAACAGUGAAAGUCUGAAAGAGAGAGUGUGUUAUGUAAAUUUAGAGUUGGGCUCAAUUGCACGGUUGUACUUGUUGGGUUUAUUUUAUGGGCCAACAAUAAUGGCCCAAAUUAAAUUAAAGCCUAUAUAUAAUUAAAAUACAUUAUAUUUAUAAAUAUUAUAUAUAUAUAUAUAUAGAGUCCGGCUACUAUACUUUUAUGAGUAUUGGCUCCUUUAUACUCAUAAGUUUUCGACCCUUAAAUUUAUUCCAUUAAUCAUUUUCAUCCGUUAGAUCAUACUAUUUAACCAACUACCCACUCAACCCUAGGGGACCACUAUCAUUCUAAGUGGGGACCACCAUCAUCCUAACCACACAUUCCAUCAAUCAACGGUUAAAAAUUUAUGAGUACAAGGGGGUCUAUACUCAUAAGAGUAUAGUAGCCCCGGCCUAUAUAUAUAUAUAUAUAUAUAUUUUCGAGCUUUUCGAGCCUAAUUCAAACGAGCUGAGUAAUACUCAAGCUCGGCUUGAAAUGAAUUUCGAGCCUUUUAUGUUGUUCAAGCUCGGCUCAUUUAAUUUCGAGUCGAGCUCGAGCGAGCCGAAUAUCGAGCCGAACACGAGUCGAACGCGAGCCGGCUCGCUCGUUUGCCAGCCCUACUCAUGACUCAUAAAAUUCGUUCCGACCGCGUACGCGGCCCAUUAUUGUAGCUGCUGCUCGAGAGCUCCUCUCCUCGUACCAAUUUCGAAAUUUUAAAAUUUCAAACGCUGUUGCUACGCUCGCGAAAACAGCCGAACGGUCAGAUCCAGCUGGACUCCAGUUCAAAUUUCAAAAUUUGCCCAAAAAGUCCCACCACGCAUGUCCGCCCGUUUCUAACGGCUAUUUCGACCCCCGUGCUUUUCAUCUAUAAAAUAACCCCCUUAUCACCCCCACAAUCGCUUCCACAUUUCGAAAACAAAAAGCGCUUCCUCAUCCACCGCUCAAAUCCAUUCCAAGGCGUCUUCACAAACGCCUCGCUUCUAAAAGGCUUUUGAGCUCAAAAGCGCUAGCUUUUUCCCAAAUCCUAAGCUCCCCAACGAAGCAGCCAUGAGAGAGUGCAUCUCCAUCCACAUCGGCCAAGCCGGGAUUCAGGUCGGCAACGCCUGCUGGGAGCUCUACUGUCUCGAACACGGGAUUCAGGUAAUAUUCACGCACCGUCGCUACCUCCCGCCAGGCGUUUGGUGUAAUGUCUAAUGCUUUUUUUGGUUGUACGACUUGUGCUGCUGCUGCUGCUUCUGCAGCCCGAUGGCCAGAUGCCGGGCGACAAGACCGUCGGCGGAGGCGACGACGCGUUCAACACGUUUUUCAGUGAAACCGGCGCCGGAAAGCACGUGCCCCGUGCCGUGUUCGUCGAUCUCGAGCCGACCGUGAUCGACGAGGUCCGGACGGGGACCUACCGCCAGCUGUUCCACCCCGAGCAGCUCAUCAGCGGCAAAGAGGACGCCGCCAACAACUUCGCCCGCGGCCACUACACUAGUAAGAUAUUACUUAGACAAUGAUAAUAUAUACGUUAUAAGUAUAGAUUUCUUUGUACUCAUAAAUUUUUCGUCGUUGAAUGAAAGAUUGUGUAAUUAAAAUGAUAGUGAUUUUUUGAUUGAGAUGAUAGUAAUUUUUUAAACUUAGUAGAUAGUUGGUUGAAUAGUAUGAUCUAACGAAUGAAAAUGAUCAAGAAGUAGAUUUAACGACUAAAAAUUUUGAUUUGAAAUUAUUAUUUAAUUUUGUUUGAAUGGUAAACGUUGCUGGUGCAGUCGGGAAGGAGAUAGUGGACUUGUGCUUGGACCGGAUCCGGAAGCUGGCCGACAACUGCACGGGGCUGCAGGGGUUCCUGGUGUUCCACGCGGUGGGCGGCGGGACGGGGUCGGGGCUGGGGUCGCUGCUGCUGGAGCGGCUGUCGGUGGACUACGGGAAGAAAUCGAAGCUGGGGUUCACGGUGUACCCGUCGCCGCAGGUGUCGACGUCGGUGGUGGAGCCGUACAACAGCGUGCUGUCGACCCACUCGCUCCUGGAGCACACGGACGUGGCGGUGCUCCUGGACAACGAGGCCAUCUACGACAUCUGCCGCCGGUCCCUGGACAUCGAGCGCCCCACCUACACCAACCUCAACCGCCUCGUCUCGCAGGUGAUCUCGUCGCUGACCGCCUCGCUGCGCUUCGACGGCGCCCUCAACGUCGACGUCACCGAGUUCCAGACCAACCUCGUGCCGUACCCGCGCAUCCACUUCAUGCUGUCGUCCUACGCGCCCGUCAUCUCCGCCGAGAAGGCCUACCACGAGCAGCUGUCCGUCGCGGAGAUCACCAACAGCGCCUUCGAGCCGGCCUCCAUGAUGGCCAAGUGCGACCCGCGCCACGGCAAGUACAUGGCCUGCUGCCUCAUGUACCGCGGCGACGUCGUGCCCAAGGACGUGAACGCCGCGGUGGCCACCAUCAAGACCAAGCGCACCAUCCAGUUCGUCGACUGGUGCCCCACCGGCUUCAAGUGCGGGAUCAACUACCAGCCGCCCACCGUCGUGCCCGGCGGCGACCUCGCCAAGGUGCAGCGCGCCGUCUGCAUGAUCUCCAACUCCACCAGCGUCGCCGAGGUCUUCUCGCGGAUCGACCACAAGUUCGACCUCAUGUACGCCAAGCGCGCCUUCGUUCACUGGUACGUCGGCGAGGGCAUGGAGGAGGGUGAGUUCUCCGAGGCGCGCGAGGAUCUCGCGGCGCUCGAGAAGGAUUACGAGGAGGUUGGCGCCGAGUCGGCCGAGGGUGAGGAGGAUGAAGGGGACGAGUACUGAUGAGAUUAUGCUGGCUUUGUGUCUUACAUAUGUUGAUGUUCUCAUCAUCACCAAUAGACGACUGUUUGGUGAAACUUCUAAGUAUGUUUUGAAUGAAAAUUUAACUUCUAAUUUCUAAUGCAAUGGUUUGUUGUUGUGAUCAUUAAUUAUGUUUCAUGUAUGUGAUUACCAGCACAAUAAACGUAGAGUGUACUACAUUUGCGACCAAGGCCGUACGUAAUCUGAUCAAACAAUGAAGUUCUAAAAUCUCAAAAUAGAGAACCAUGCCAUCCUUUUGAGGGUGCGGUGCGGUUCAUUUCAUUUGCGAGAGAAUGAAUUCGAGUCAUCUUAUCUUAUAAUAAAAUUGUCUACAUUGUAUCAUUUUCAAAUUUUCAAUCAUGUAAAUUUGUAUCAUUUUCAACUCUAACACACAUUUUUGUGCACCAAAUACAUGGCCCAUAAAACUGGGCCAGUAGGCCUCCGAGCUAUAAAAAAAUUGCGGAGCAGCAGUGCACAUAGAAGAAGCUCACUUCAAAUAUAUAUUUUAAAGUAAAUAACAUUUAACUUGUUUGCUUAUAAUUAAUUAGUAAAUUUUUUUAACAAAUUUGGGACUUGAUUGUAACAUAAAAGAAAGAAUUAAUUAAUUAUUCUGGCAGAGAGAUAAAUCUGUUUUAAUUUUGAAAAAAAUUCAAAAAAUUACGUAAUUUUUGUAUUUUUUUUAAUGACAAAGUUUGUGAAAUUUAAAAGAAACAAUCAAAUAUCAUCGAAGUUAUACAUCAAAAGGAUCAAAUAAAAUAAUCAUAUAUAAUAUAGAAAAAAAAAAUAUAAUAUUUAUUUAUUUUCUGUAAGCGCAUGAGAUUGGGAUAUCCGGGAUUAGAGUUUUAGAAAAAAAAAAAGAAAAAGAUGAGAAAAUGAAAGUGAGAGUUUUCCAACAAAAUAAGUAAAAGAUAAAAUAGAAUUUGAGUUUAUAUUUUUUUAAACCCUUAUUUUGUACGCAGCAUGGCGACAAGUGUGGGCUAAUCAUUUUUUUUUUUUCCCCUUUCACCACCGAGGCAUUGUGACAUGAAUCGCUUUUAUGAUUUUGUUGUUGUUUUCUUGGACUCAACCUUGGGUUCAGAUCUAAUCGUACAUAAAAUAUAUAUAUACAUUAUAUAUAUAAUAUAUAUUAUAUAUAAGUAAUAUAGAGUUUAGGGAUGCGCUAUGACUAAUAGGAAGUACGGAUCUGUCGGUUUUCAGUUAUUUUCAGAUUUUCGGACUUUUCGAAUCGCGACGCUGCGUUAGACCUGAUUUGAGAUCAUUGAAGUCAUGUAAAAUAACAUUUUGUUAAAUUUUCGAUACCAUUUGCCUAGUGAUCGAAGGGUAAAAUUAAAUAAUUUUAAUAGAGUGGCGAGCGCGUUGCAAGUCUUAAACGGUGGACCGAAUAUCCAAAUUCACAUAAAAUUUGAUAGAAAAUUCUCAUAUAUAUAAAUUAGAGAUCAAUUACUUUAAUCUUAAAUUUAAAUUCAUACAUACAUUUUUGAAGAUAUGAAUUUUUAGCCAUGAUUGAGAUCGCCCUUGCGAUCACUAGAGCAAAUGAUAUGAAAAAUCGGAAAUUUAUUUCUCGAACUUCAAAGAACUAUCUUAGAUCAUCUAAAACGGAGCAGAUCUCGAUUGAAGUCGAACGAAAUAAAGUGAAAGCACGGAUCUUCCGUGCAUAGCCAUACACAUCUAGCUCAUAUAUAUAUAUAUAUAUAUAAAAGGAAGGGUCGAGCCCACCAAGUAGACCAGACCCAGGUCCCAAAACAAAGCAAAAGAGAACAAAAUAGCUUAACAUUUAGAUCGGAAUGUGAGUACUCACGUACCUGUAUACAGCUGGGGUUGCUCAUAGCAUGAAAAUGAGCAGGCAAAGAACCCAAUAAUUCUAUACCCACCAUUCUCUUCGGUGCUUAUUAUCAUAGUUUCCGCGGCAUUUAGGCCGAGACUCGCCUGCUGCAGAUUCUGCAUUAACAAAUCAUCUGUGAAAAGUACUAUUUGAAUAGAGAUGUUUGAAUUCUGCUCUAUCUAAUUAUAGUCUCUAUUUUUUUUUUUUCCGCUAUAGAAACAAUAAGAUUUCAUUAAACAUGCAGUAUUCUUUAUUACUGGGGACGUCCUUAAUGUAUAUAGUAAAAAAAUUUGAUAGCAGGUAUACGAAAUUUUAACUUCGAAAUCCUAGGAAAAUGUACUCUCUAUUAUCUAAGAACAAGUAAUUAAUAUGAACAUUAGAAUUUUUGUACUACCAAUCUAAUCUAAUUUAACAUUUACAUGUGAAGUUCAGAAAUCAUGGAAGCUGCCAACAAAAGGAAAAGGAACGGGAAGUUGCCGAAAAGUAAUGUUCCAAAAAAAAUAAUAAAAAAAUCCUUCCAAAUCUCGUUCACAACUAGAAAGUAUGAUGCCAGGCAUCUAGAUCAAGAAUGGUGACUUUGAUUUUUACAUAUUGGCUGUUCCAUAAGUUUAUGUAAUUUGUAUGCAUCGAAAAUUAAUAAUUGUUGUUGUUUUUUUUUUUUUAGAUAUUUAGAUAGUGUAGAUUUUUUUUCAGUAAAUCCUCAAUUAAAUUACUCCCCGUUUUGAUAGUAGCCUGAAACAAUAAUAAUAAUUAUUAUCAUCAUCUAUAUUUAUACAUAUUUAUAACUAUACAUUAUUUUCAUAAAAUUUGUCACAUGAUAGUUUAUCUUUUACUCUUAACUUUCUACCCCUUUUCCAUUUUCUGACACUUCACCUGUUAGGAUUUGGUUAGAUUUGUAAUUGAAUCCUAUUUGGAUAAUAAUUAAUAUUUAAAUCUGUUAAGAUUUAAAUAUUUUUUAGAGGAUAAACCUAACUAGAUUAGGAUUAAUAUUUAAAUUUAUUAGAGAUUAAUUAAGAUAGAUUUAGAUAUUAAUUAGAAUAGAAAUCCUAAAUAUACUAGAAUUGGGUACAUUCUAGUUGGAGCAUUAUAAAUAAUGCAUUGGGUAAAUUAAUUUGGAGGGCUGUGAGGUGAGUACGGGAGAGAGAGAAAAUGCCUCUUGGGUGCCGUACCAGAGAGAGAAAAAGAGAGAGAGAGAGUUAUUUAGUGCACCUAGUGCAUGGGUGCGCGCGGAUGAUUGUCUUCUUUAUGGGAUUAUAGAAGACGAGAGAAUGGUAGAAAAGAUUCAGAAAGAGGGCUCGGGUUGUAGUUACUCUGUGCAGAAGAGGAGUCAGGUGUAAUCUUCUCUUAUUUAAUGAAUCUUAUUUUACCCGCAUAUUUUCUGUUUUUGGUAUUUCUCUCUUUUAUGAUUGUAUCAGCUUUUGCUGAGGAGACGGGUUUAUGGUAAAAAAACUCGAUUUGACGCUUCCGUUGCGGAAUCCCAACAAUCGAUACCGAAUCCACAGCAGUCGGUAUCGGAGCGGGUUGCGGAUUCACGAGAUCCGGUACCGGGGCGAGUACCUUAUUCCCAACAUCACCUUCCCACCCACC